rnacentral:lncRNA from 1 species
CUCCACGAAGUAUGACGAGUUCUUGUUUUGCACGUUGAUCAUCUGCUCGUCUACCUCCUUAGUCGACAUCUUCCCCCGGAACAUCGCGGACGCCGUCAGGUACCUCCCGUGCCGCGGAUCCGCCGCGCACAUCAUGUUCUUUGCGUCCCACAUUUGCUGCGUCAGCUCCGGAACCGUCAGCGACCUGUACUGCUGGGACCCCCUAGACGUCAGCGGUGCAAAUCCCACCAUGAAAAAAUGCAGACGAGGAAAUGGGAUCAAGUUCACCGCCAACUUUCUCAGGUCAGAGUUGAGCUGUCCGGGGAAACGCAGGCAGCACGUAAUGCCGCUCAUCGUCGCAGAGAUCAAGUGGUUCAAAUCUCCAACUGCACAAAGCAGAGAGAGAGAUUCACGGACAGCACUGAAACAAUAGAAGGCAUCCUGAGGACGCUCAAGUAAGGGUAUCCCUCCAAGAGAAUCUAAGAACAAAACAAAUGCACUUAAGUGGAAUAACGUCAGGCGAAGAUAAGAGCUUACAGGAGGGAGUAAUGAGCUUCAGUGUCCUAAAGCAAAUGUCGUACAGAGCCUCGUUGUCCAGCACCAUGCACUCAUCAGCAUUUUCUACUAACUGAUGUACCGACAGGGUGGCAUUGUAUGGCUCAACCACGGUAUCCGACACCUUAGGAGACGGGAACACUGAGAAGGUAAGCAUCAUCCGGUCGGGAUACUCUUCUCUGAUCUUAGAGAUGAGGAGGGUUCCCAUUCCAGAACCAGUUCCACCUCCUAAACUGUGGCACACCUGGAAACCUGAGGUUACAGAGAGAGAAGGUCAGCACUCGAUUUUAUGGACAAUUUUGCUAGAACGUAGUCGUCAUAGACGACAAGACCGGGGAUCCACAGCACUGUCCCCCAAGGAGGCGGCGCAUCGCUAAGACAAAACCAUCAACCAGGCAGAGUACACAGAGCGCUCCACAAACCGACGAGAUGUCAAUGCAUACCUUGCAGGCAGUCACAGCUUUCGGCCUCCUUGCGCACGACGUCCAGAACGGAGUCGAUUAACUCAGCUCCCUCAGUGUAAUGCCCUUUCGCCCAGUUGUUUCCAGCACCAGUCUGGCCAAACACAAAGUUAUCGGGGCGGAAGAUCUGUCCGUAAGGACCAGACCGCACGCUGUCCAUAGUCCCAGGCUCCAAAUCCAUCAAUACCGCUCGAGGCACGUAGCGACCACCGCUGGCCUCAUUGUAAUACACAUUGAUGCGCUCCAGCUGCAGAUCAGACGUACCCUGAUACGUCCCAGUGGGGUCGAUACCAUGCUCCUCGCACACUACCUCCCAGAACUUCGCUCCGAUCUGGUUCCCACACUGCCCUCCCUGAAUGUGCAGGAUUUCCCUCAUCUUCGCUAAGGAUGAUCUACAACGAGAACGAAGAAACAAAGACGGCAAACCGUCCCUCGAGCACUGAGACGCUGAACAAAAGGAGAGAAGAAGACGUCCCUGGGGGCACACUGAGAAGAGAUAUGCCAGAGAGAUAGAUAAAAGGAGGAGCCCGCCCUAGGGCUUUGGUUCCUGCCCACGAACACUUUCUGCCCAUCGUUGGAUCGAGCAUCUUACGCUUCAACUUUCUCAGGCAGACAAGUAAAUUCCAGCUCAAGAGCUGCCAGUCAAAUUCCAAUCGUAGGCAAGGUACAAUUCCCACGCAAAGCGUCUGCGCCGUUGGAUGGCGGGAUCGACGGCACGAAUGAGAUUAUAGCUGGCGUUGAAUCACACUCGUUGCGUAGGCCUAGCAUCGUUGGAUUUCUCCAGAUCCUACAACGUGGUAAAACUCUUGCUCUCAGUAAUAUUCCUCCCUGUAAGUCACUUUAGCCGACCGCCUUGCAUGAGGUAAAAAACAAAAAGAAUUGGACAGAAGAGUGAAAAAAGCCCAUACUAAUCGAAGCUCUAGCGUUUUGAUUUAUUUUUUAAAUUCAAAUUCGGGCGACGGGACAGUUUCCUAACCGUUCUGCGCCCAUCUGAAAAGCUAAAGGAAACUCCGUCGAGGUUUGAAAUUUGAAAUUUAAACAGUGGAUUCAAAUUUUACGCCCCUACGGCUGGUCGUGGUUUGCAACAGUUCUUCGCCAGCCAAUCAAUACAUUGGCAAUGGAUAUAUCUGUCCACUGUUUCUGAAUCCAGUGCCGCCGCUUAAAAGUUCUUACCUCGGGGGUACUUUACACAAAACACAUGCCUGCCCCCCCAGAUACCUCGGCAUAUCCUUCUGCCUGGGCAUAUGUAGUCGACGCUCAUUUGGAAAAUAACAAGUUCCACUCAUAGCACCUGCUCUUGGUUGGUCAGUUGGGGAUCCCUUAAUGUUGAAUAAUGUGGAAUGACUUUUGGAUCUGUCUACGAGUGCAUUGAUGGUAGCAAUCUGGAAGAGUUCCACGGGCAUCUCGACCAGCGUGUGCCUCCUCCUAAUGUUGCAAAUAUGAAGACUAGAGGGAUGGACAUCGCUAACUUGUGUUAUAGCCUCUGAGUUAGAGCGACAUAGACGCGGCGUUGUGAAGUUCAGAAGUAGCGGUGCGCGAACAACCUGUUCCUCGAAGGCUCCACGUCUGGAUUUUUCGUAGACUGCCCAAACACAAUCAAUUUAAAAGCUCGGUGAUCACACCAUACAUUUCGGAUUAGUGGGAAUUUUGCAAAGCACAAUAAGUUAUGAGUCACUGAAAAAACCUAUUUUGUCGAGAAGAUUGGAAUGGAAAGAGGCUCAAACAGAUUUCCUAAUGAAGUGAAGACAACUAAGUCCCACGGAAAUUCUACAUCACGGGGCUUGAAUAAUUAGAUAUGAAUUGUGUAAAUGAGCAGACAAACUUAGAACCCGAAUGUAAUGUAACAAUUAAUUCCUAAUUAAGCCCCUCUACAAUGGGAAGUAGUAAUCAGCAUGAGCUCUAACAGCUAUUUUGAAGGAUGGAGGAUUGACAAACUUCCAGUGGUGCAAUGAGCAUCAAAGUCAAUGUUCAUGAAAUAGAACAAAAAUACACAACAAAAUAGUGUGUAUUAUUCUUGAUAUGCGUGCGCUUAUCCCCACAUGUUUUCUGCUUUAUGGUGUUUCUACUUUAUUACUAUUAUUCUUAUCAUCGUCGUCAUUUUGUUUGACUGGUCUCAACAUUACUAAAAUGUUAAUAAUCUUGUUUUUAAUUACGACUUAAACUCUUACUCAUUCACCCAUUAUUAUUAUUAUUACCUUUACAACAAGAUUUAUCCAGAACCUUCAUUUUCACUUUUUAAAACUAUACGUACAUACGUACAUAAUACCAACCUGGCCAAGCUAUAAGUCGGCUCAGCUCACUACUUACCUCAUGUUUUGAAAUAUCCAUGGAAACUCAUGUUUUUAGAUCGAUAUAAAUGCUUUUAUUGUGUAACAUUUUAAUACUUACAAGUCCAAUAACCUGGUUUUUCAUUCACAGACUACAGAUGAAAAACCAAGUUAUGAGAAUUGUAAUUACAUUGUUGAAUUGCAGAAUUAUUAUGCAAUUUCUCAAUUACAAUAAAAUUGAAAUUAAAUUGCACUUUGAAAAAUAAAAAAAUCAACAUUAAGCAAAACAAGAGAAAGGUACUUAUCUUACAUUUUACAUUUUCUUACAUUUAUUGAAUCCAGGAGUAAGAAGUGAUCAUUUCAUUAUUUAUUUACUUAUAUUAAAAAUGAUCUACAUAAAAAACAAAUGUUUCUUUUACAGUGUAAAGUAUGAGAAAACAUUACCUAUAAAAAAGACACUUUUAUUUCAAAACAUGUUAUUACAUCUUUAUUUAUUUUAAAACAAUCUCUCCUUCAAAAUGUGGAUAAGGAACCUGUUGAUGAUUUGAAUCUAAAGUAAACGUAAAAAAACAUCUGCUAAACAAUACCUCUGCUGAAAAACUUUUCUCAACAACAUGAUUUAAUACAUACAUACAUACAUACAUGGACUACGUUCUCUACGUACUUUAGUAGUUCUCCUGAAAGGUAACUGAAGCAAAGCUUAGCUUCAUAAAUUGACAUACUCAUACGAAUUCGAAGCUCCAGGAUAAGUAUACAGGUCCAUGAUACAAAACACGGAAAAUGAAUACCCGUACCCAAUCCGAAUGACAACACUAAGAACUGAAGACCACUUUGACACACAUACUCAUAUCCAGAUCCAGGCUGUGUUACGAUACCCGGGUAUACACCCGAUCUGAGGCAGAGAGGGACGAGGCAAAACCGAAGGGACAAAACGUGGGACGCCCAUGUGGGGAGUGGCAGUGAGGAGUGGUAAUGAGGGGCUCGCCGCGCAGCUCACAUGCGCGCUGGGGUGACUCUGCCGCGAGGAACGGUGUCUCUCUUUCUCUCUCUCACUUUCGCAAUCUCGCUCUGGCAAGACGUUACUGGAGAUUAGCGAGACAAGCGCAAAAGAGUCCACUCGUAGCGAGGACCAUGCCGCAGCGGCGAUGCAUCCGGCAUUCAUUGCCCUGGUUGAUUAGCAGGAAUGGAUAGCCCUCGUGGGGGGGGGGGUUCACCAUCUCAUUAUUUUGGGGUGAUUCACUUCUUUUACUGGGAUCAAAAGCUUCCGACCGCAUCAUGGAGCAUGAUGUGAUGUGUUUCUUUUGGAUCGACUGAUAUCCACGGCCUCCGCACCCCACUUUGGCUCAAGCUAACAUUCUACGUAUUUUUUCACAUGAAUCAUAUGGAGCGGUCAUCCUACCCGUUUCGUACAAUGAUUCGCGGUUGGGACCGUGGAAUUACACGCUUUCCUAAUUUCCAGCGCAUCGACAUAUCCAUUUAGAAUGAAAGCAUGGUGCAGAAGAGUGAGUGUUAAAAUAGAGAAUCGCUUUCUGGGGGUUGGGGAAAGGUGUGCAUUUGCUCCCUGCUUGUCGUUCGAAUGCUGCGUGGGUCCGCGAGGCUGCAACAGUCUAACCCGGUUUGAUUACGGUUCGAUACAAGGCUGCAGUGAUUAAAGGUCUGGAUAAGGCUAGCUCUCGAGAAGCUCCUGGAUGAGGCUAGCUAGGAUUUGAGGAAUUCGGUCACUUGGCCGAGUGUGUAGUGGAUUGCAAUGUUUCGCAGUGAAACAGGGGGGAGAAGUCAGGUCGGUACCGUUUCGUCAGACCAGAUGCAUGUUACUGUGACAGGCACUUGACUGGAUGUGAGUGAAACGUUUUGCAGGCCAUGCGUACGAAAUCCUGCUGACACAGAUUUGUUUAUGAAACAUUCACCAAGCAAGGUCGGUAGUGGGAGCCCAUAUUGCGAAUAUCAAGCUGCAAAGGCAAAGUGCGUCAUUGUUGGAGAAAAAAAUGGAGUGAAAGUCCUUGGUUAUGUGCGAUUUUUGAAAAUUGACAGAUACCAGAUAAUUAGUGGACGAGGAUUAUGUUAGUGGCCAAUUCACUCUUAGUUCUAUGUCGUAUGUACAAAGUCAGCUGAAUUAACAUACCGUGAUCUAAGUGGUCACCCACAAAAAGUGCUGUUGCCUGUGCGAUGCUACUUGAAAACCCAUGUCAAGGAGAGUUGGAAAGUAAUGAAUGAAAUUUUUGCUGGCUGUAGUAACCUGGUGAACCCUCACCGGCACAAGUAAAUAAGGGAAGGAUUUUGGAGUCACCAGUCAAUGCUGAAUUGGACUGAGCCAAUGGCUGCCGACGGACAUCCACGUUCUGCUAAUGCAUGUUCUGCUUCACGAGUCAGGAGUGGAAGCCAGCAGCGACAGACUGCAAAUCAUGAGUGUGUAUGUGCUGAGAUGAUGCAAGCUUUCGAAAGGGCCGUGCCUCCCUGCCAUGUCCUACCAGAUAGUUUCCUCGGCUUAGGAUUCGCUGAGGGGAAGCUUGACAAGGUGCCGUUUGUCAGGGACAUCUGAUGCCGUCCUCUACAGUGCAGGGCUGAACAAGAAAUUCGUCAGUCAGCUCAUUAUGCUUACCUCAAUCACUUGUGCAUUUUCAUGGAGAUAGAAACAUCAACAAGAAGAGAAUGGAAGAACCCCAAACAUUAACGGUCAGAAAGCACAGUGACGAAAGCAAGCUUCCUUUAAAGCUAAAUCAUGUUCACCACAAAGUUCUGUACUGGCACAUGCUGAGAAGAUCUGGUUUCUUCAUGUGCUGUGACAGCAAUAUUUACAGUCGCGGAGAGGGGCACAAACCAAAUGAAAGCUCUCCACCACCAGAUCACGUACGCCAUGUGAGUGAGUGGGAGCAACAGUGUCCCUGAAAGGAUGUUGAAGCUUUGCAAUGCUCAAAGACAGCACAUAACCGCAAACAUCUAGACUCAGAAGGAAGCUCCAUAACAACGCCCGAUCACGAUUCUUGUAAGAUUACCAUGGGUGUCAAGUUCGAAUCACACCUCCACUACAAUCUACCCCACAUACAUUCCACCACCUACAUUCGCAGCAGCAGCAAUAAUAUGCCACAGAGAUUACGAUUAAGAGUCUUUGGGUGAUACAUUCACAGAAUCCACAACGCAUGUUAUCAAAGUGAUUAUAAAACCAGGAGCAAGAAUGGCAGCAAGACUAACAUCAUAUAAAUGGCUCGCAAACACAUGGAAGCAGACUGUGGAAGUUCCGGAGAGCAGCUACCCACCCAUCAAUCUUUGUCAACCACGAGAAACCCAUACAUUUUCACGCUAGGAAUACUACAAGUUAUGUAAGCACCUAAAAGUGAAGUGGGUUCAUAAUCAGGUGAUGUUUCCUUUGAGAAAAAGCACAUUGUGAAGGCUAUCACAAGGUCUCACAAUGCAGGAAUUCUUCACAGUAGUUGAUAAUGAGCCACGAAUAUAACUCACAAAGAGGGUACCAGACUCAGUCUGCAUAAGUCAAGUUGGUCAUAGAAGCAAGAUCAUUCAUUGUGAAGGCAAAUCCUGUACCUCACAAUGAAUGAUAAGAAUAUAACAACAGUACAACAUAUAAGGCACAAGACUGCGUCUGCCUUAGCGUGCUUUCUAUUUGACCGAGAAUUCCGAAUCAUCACAAUUUUGUUUUGAAGAUGAUUUGUUGCUGUUGUUAGCCAAUUGCUUACACGAGAAAAUGUUAUAUAAUUUUGUAAAAAAGAUAGUUCAGGUUAUAUAAGUAUCUACUGCUUAAGUACUUUCUAACUUGGAUAUAAAUAAAUAAAUAAACAAACAUGAAAUGAGUGUGUCUUUAAUAAAAAGAGGUAAUUGAUUUUACUUGGCAAAAAGAACAACAAAGAAAUUGAUUUAGUGGAUUGAUGUUUUUACCUAAAAUUUUACUACUUCUACCCAACAUCAUGUUGCACUCACCACAUUGUUGUUGUGGUUUUGUGACUCAUUACAUUUCAACAACUUUACUUGACUGUUUUGGAAGAAAAAUUUGCAUUAUCAUGAGACCCCUAACCGAUGAGUUGUAGUAAAGGUAUAUGUAUCAAACCCUAUUGCCAUGUACAAUCCCUACCAUCUUAAAUUCCAUUUCCAACACAGACAAAGGCCCACUGUGUUGGGACAUGGAUCAAAAUGAAUUUGCUUUUGAACAAGUAAUAAAACCACAAUAAUAGCAACAAUGUGGUAGACACAAUACAAUGUUGGAUGAAAAUAGUAAGAUUUGAGGUAGAAAUAUUAAUUCUCUAAAUUCUUAAUACAAAAAAUAAUAUCUUUUUGACCAAAAAUAUACAUAGAAUUUAAAUGAUAUUUUAUAAGAUAUACAAGUAUAGAUGUUUUAGAAGCAAAAGAUAAUUGAAAAGCAAAAUUUGGAUUUAUAAACUAAAUAAGUAGAAGUAAAAUUACAUUUAAUUUUAUUUUAAGAUAUUUAUAAGUUGAAAACAAAAAAGGUUUUGUUCUUUACUUGUAAAAUAGUACCAUGCAUAAAUGUAGUUUUAAAUUUAUUUUAUUUUGGAACUAUAAUGCAUAAAAAUAUACAAUUCUUUAAUUUUUAUAUACUUUAUAAUAAUUAGAGAAAAUUUGAAUAAAAAUUUAUUAAUUUAUUGGUCUCAAAAUUCUUACUUAUUUAUACUUUUUUGCAUGUUUCAACAUAAUUUAUUUUAAAUUAAAUAAAUCAAUUUACUUGUAUUAUUUUAGAGUAUUGAAAAUAAUAUCAAUGUUUAUAAGAUCUAAAAUAUUUUAAAGAAGUUUACAUAUAAAAGUUUAAUUAAGAAAUUUAUUGAGGUUUAAAAGUACUCUUAUUAAAUUAUGCAUUCUUGCAAAAAAACUUAAAUGCAUAAGACACAAACUAUACUCUUAUAAUAUUCUUUGAAAUAUUUUGUCCUAAUAUGCAUGCAAGAUAUUUUAAAGACCAAGUUUAUAUGCAUAUUUUAAUCUUAAAAAUUUCCAAAUAUUUUUUUAAUGUAUUUACAUAAAUUAAUAUAUAUUUAUUAUGACCAAUUUUACCAAAUUAUUACUUAUUAUGUUCUAAUAUUUUUAAUCUGAUAGAAUUCUUUUUUUAUAUGGAUAUAAAAAUAUAAAAAAUAUAUAUAUAUAUAUAUAUAUAUAUAUAUAUAUAUAUAUAUAUAUAUAUAUAUAUAUAUAUAUUUACACACACAUAUAUACAUAUAUAAUUAAUUGCAACAACAUUAGAAAUUUUUACAUUAUGUAUAAUCUUUUGUUUAAAAACAAAUUACAGUAAGAAAUAAAAGAAUUUAGAUUCAAAAGCAUUAAAGGCUUUAGAGAAAAUAAUCAUAUUUUUUUUAUAUGUUUUAUAUUUAAUAAAUAAAAAAUAUUUUAUAAUUUUCAAAUAAUUUAUUGAUAUAAUUUGAAGACAUCACUUGUAAUGAUUAGAAUAAUAAAUUUCUAAUUUUUAUUGUUUGAUAGUUUUAUUCUGCUAUCAAUGAAACUGUAGUUAUUUAAUAUCAUAUGGUUUAGAUUAAUAAUUUUUUUAUGACCAUUAUAAGUUUCAGAUAAAACUAUACAUGAUUUGAUAGUAAAUUAAAAAUCCCAAACCAAUUGCAUUUUUAAAAGAACUGCAAUAACAAAAUUUAGAAAUUUUGAUAGAAUAUUGCAUAAUAUUUUUAAGAAUAUUAUAUAUUUAUUUUUAAAUUUAUUUGUACAAGUCCAAACCAUAAUCAAUAAUUUUUUUUACGUUUUAUAUUGUUUUCUUAUUAUCUAUAUCAGCACUGCAAAAUUAACAGUAUCUUAACUUCAAAUUAAUACAACUGGAGAACUGAGUAUCCACCCAUGUAUCAUAGAAAUCUUUAGUUUUAAAUUGCAGAUCCAUUUUAUUUUUCUUUUUCUUUUUUUAAUUUAAAAAAGUAGGAAUAAAAAAAUUAAAUUCAUAAUCUGAAAUGAUUUUUAUUCACAAAAAAAAUGUUGUUUACUACUGAUUUCUUGUUGUCGGAAAUUUUAGGAUUUCAUAGUUUGAUAUUUUAUUUUUAGACUUUUUUUAACUGUAUGAAAAUUCAAAAGUCAAGUAUGAAUUAAAAUUAAGAUUAAAAGAGAUUUCUUUAAAAUCUAACAAUGUAAAUUUUACUUUGAUUCUAUUUUAGAACAAACUUUUGAUUUUUUUGAUCUAAAAAAAAGGUUCUUCAAUUUUCAUCUAAUCUUUUUCAUACAAUCAAAUGUUGUUGAAAUUAUUUUUUUAUAUGUAUGUAUAUAAAUUUUAAAAAUAAAUCAUAUAUAUUUUAAUCUUUGUGUUAGUAACUUAUGUCUAAAUACCAGUAAGACGGCAAAGUAUAUGGGCUUUACUACAACUUUUUUUUUUUUUUUUUUUUUUUUUUUUUUCUAUCUUUAGUUUCAUUCAAAGAAAAUCAAAUUUUUUAAUACUGAAAUAAAUAGGUGUUUAAAAUAAGAGAUUUAGCUUAAAAUUACAAGUUCUUAGUAUAUUUAAAAUAUUAGAUUUAAUUUAUAUAUAUAUAUAUAUAUAUAUAUAUAUAUAUAUAUACAAAUAUCUGCAUAUACAAAAAAAAAGGUUAGAAUUUUUUUUAUAAUAACUUAUUUAAUUAAUAAAUAAUAAAAAUAAAAUUACAUUACAUAAUUUUUUUAAAAAAGAAGAAUUAUGCUAAUGCACAAAUGUCCAUACAUUGGUAUCCUUCAUAAACGUUUUAAAAUAUUAAUAAAAAUAGAAAAUUAUAAAAAAUAAGUAAAAAAUAACAAUUUUUUAAAAUUUUGAUAUUACAUUAGUAAAAUAAACUUGGUUAUAUCACAAGUAUAGGAUCUUUAUAUUCUUCAUAAAUUUUAAUGAAAAUAAUACCAAAAAUAUAAAUACUAUUAUUUACAAGAUAAAGAGUAAAUUAUAGAAAAUAAUAAUAAUAAAAUAAUUGCUUAUGUUUUUAUUUAUAAAAAAUGAUUUUCUAAUCAAGAAAAAAUAAGUAAAAAAAUUUAAGUAUUUAUCUAUUUUUUACUAUAAUUUAUUAUAUAAACCAUUAAUUAUAGAUUUUUUAAUAUCUUAUAUUUUUAGGCAAUUUAAAACUUUAAUCUUAAUUUUUUUUCAUAACGUUAAUAAAUUUAAGCUUUUAAAAAUGAUAUUUAUAUUAUACAUUAGUUUUAUUUAUAAAUUCAAUUAAAUUAUGAAUAAUUAUAUUUAAAGCUAAUUUAUACUUUAUGUAAUAUAUAUGUAUAAAAAUAAAUAAAUAUUUAUUAAUAAAAAUAAAAACAUAAAAAUUAUAUUAUAGAAAUUAUUUAUUAUAAUAAAAAAUUAAUAUUUUAUUUUAUUUUAUUAUUAUUAUUAUUAUUAUUAUUAUUAUAUUAAAUUAUUUUUUAUUUUUAUAUUAAAAAAUCAUAAAGCUAUAAUUUGAUUUAUAAAUAAUUGAUUAUUGUCUCUAAAUAUAAUAUAAUGGAGAAUAUUACUUCAUAUUAAAAAAUUAUUAUAAUAUAAUUUUUAUGUUUUUAUUUUUAUUAAUAUACAAAUAAAAAAAAUUAUUCAAAAUACAAUUCACGUCACAAGCAUAUUCUUAAUUGCUACACAUACAUCCAUUGUCAAGAAUAUUAAUUAUAAAAAAUCAAAGGAUUAGUACACUCUUAUGUUAAAAAAGAAUAGAUAUUCACUCAAAGAUGAUAUAAUAUUAAGCCUAUAAUGGCUAUUGCUAAAGACAAGAAGACUAGAAACUCUUAAAAUAAGAUUAAAAAUACAAAAAGUAUUGACAAGAAUGAGGAAGGUCUCAUCUUUGCCUCCAUAUAUACUAUCUAACUAGGAAAUACAUAGCAAUGCUCUAUAAGACUCCUAAUACUUGUACAACUUACAAAACACAUGUUUAACUUGCAAAAUAAGUUUUUUGCGUAGAAAACUUCUAUUACAAGUGGCCAACUUCUUGGCCAAAUUUUCAACCUAUCAAUCACUUAUAGCCACAUGUAAAUUCAAAUCUUUAUUUUUGAAGUAUAUAAGAAGCUUGUCUAUGAGAUAUUAUCAAAUUUACUAACUACUAAUUAUUUCUAUCUAAUUCCUUUAAUCUAAGUAAAUAUAUAUGUCCAUGAUAUUGUUCCCUCUUCUAAGAACAAGUUUCAUAAGAAGUCGUAUUAUAUUAUAACAUAGAGUGAAAAAGAAAAGAAAAAAUUAUAUAAAAAAUAAUCUUAUUUCAGAUUAUAUUAGCAAAUUAUCAUAAAAAGAUAGAUGAUAGUCAAGGAGGUAGUAAAAUGAAUAAGUGAUAAUAUUAUUUUUUUACAAAAUAGGCUUUUAUUUAUUUUGAAGGAUUAAAUAUAAGACAAAAAUAAAAUAUAUUAUCAAAAUUAAUAUCAUAGAAUCUUAGAAUAGAAAUAAAUAAUAUCUUUCAAUAAAAGUUAUUUAGAAAAAUUAGAUACAUCAAAAAAAAAUUAAACUUGAAUUAGAAUUAAAUUCUAAUAUACAAAAAUACUUCUUUAUAAUGAAUAUGGAAUUUUUUCGUUAAUUAAAAAAAUAAGAAUCAAAAAGAAAACUAUAGAAAAAUUCAUUGGAAGUUCUUUUUAAAUGAUUUGAAUUCAGAAUGACUUUAUAAGAUCUUUGUAAAGUCUAGAUUAUUUUGGAAUGACUAUGAUUUUUGAGAAAUAAAAAGUAUUUAUACUUAAGAGAAUUUUGUGAGUUUUGUAAUAGAUAUGUGGAUGAAAAUUUAUGAAUUUAUAAUCAUGGUUGUAUUAAAUGUAUGUUAUAAGUUUGAGCUUGAUGAAAUGAUUUAUUUGAAAGUUAUUAAAAUCAAAGUAGAUUGAAAUCUUAAAAAUUAAAAAUUAGAGGAUUAGUGAGGGUUUUUAAGUUUUGUAGCAAUUUGUUAAUUAGAUUAAAAUAAAAUUUUGUGCACUUAUAGAAAACUUAAUUUCUAACAAUUAUAAAAAUUUGAAAAUAUUUGGAUGAUAAAACAAGAGAUAUUAGAAUUAUUUUGUGAUAACAUGACUAUAUAAUAAAAGAUAUAUAUAUAUAUAUAUAUAUAUAUAUAUAUAUAUAUAAUAUAUUAUAUAUAUUAUAUCUUAAUUAAUGAUAAAUUAGUAAAAAAAUAAUGAUAAAUUAUAGGAAGGUAAUAAAAAUUUUAGUUUUAAUAUUAUUUUUUAUAGAAAAAACUUCUAUUUACUUUGUAGAGGCAUAAUUAAAUCAAAUCAAAAUAAAUACGAUAAGAAAUUGAUACGUGCAUGUUAAAAAAGAGUUGACAAUAAGUUAAAACAAAAUUUACUUCAAAUUACCAAAAAUUGAUAUCUAAAAAGGAUUGGUUGUCAAUCUAGAUCAAAAUUAGAUCCUUAGGUACAAAAUCAUGAUUCUAUAGUAACUCUAGGAUUCUUUUGGGAAUUAAAGAGUGGGAUUUGAUAGCAAACUUGAAAAGAGAUUUUUGAGUGUUAGUUAUUGAAGACAAAAACUUGAUGAAAAAUAAAAAUAAUAAGACUUUAUCAAAGAAGUCUGAAAAAAUAAAAAUAAAGAAGUAUGUAUAUUAAAAAGAAACUGGAAUUGCUAUAGUCAAAAGAUAAAAAAAAAUUAGAAACUUCUUAAAAAUAGAAUAGAAACAAGAAAAAAAUUGACAAGAGUGAAGAAGGCUUCACUUUUGCUUCUAUAUACUAUCUACUUAGGAGCUUCAUGGUAAUGUUCUAUAGGACCUCCAAGAUAUGUUGACUUUGCAUAAUAUGUAUCUUAAUUUGUAAGGCAAGUUUUUUAUAUGAAUAAAAUAUAAUUACCUUAUCCUACAAGCUACUAAUACAUAUGGCAUGUGGUUAAUUUGUUGACCAAGGUUCUAACUUAUCAAUCAAUUACAAAUACAUGUAAAGUCAAAGCAAUGUCUAUGAAGCUUCUAAAAAACUUUACUAAAAGAUAUUAUGAAAUUUAUUCAUUUUUAUUUACUUCUACCUAUUUAUAUUACCUAAAUUGCAACUAUAGUGAAUAUAUGUUUAUGACAUUAUCUCCCUUUUUAAAAAUGAAUUGCAUAAAGAGCAGUGAUCACAAGUUGAGAAAGUCUAAGAUGCGGCAAAUUGUAUUUGCUACGUACUUUGAUCUUUAUUCCUUUUGAAGAUAGUUGAUAGAUCCUCUCAACCAUUAAUAAUAUUCUAUUCCAAAGUAAGAAGACCAUCCUAUUAUUUGAUUAUUGUUGGAGUUCUUUAUAACUUUUUUCAAAUAAAAUAUUUAUAAUACUAUUAAGAGACAUUUCUACCUCCAAUAAAAUCAUCAAAUAUUAAGACUUCUUUUUCAAAUUUUUGAUACGAAAUACGUUGUAUCUUGCCAUCUUUUCAAGGAAAGACAAAUCAUUCUUGAAGGUCUUUAUUUCUAUUAUGUUGUCUUGAAGGUAAUGAUAAUUAUAAUGUUUCUUCUAAUAAGUCAAUAAAUGAUUGUUCUUGAGUUGAAUCUAAUGGCUGUUAGUUCUCUAUCUUCUUAAUGCCUUAAUUAUACAAAAAUUACAAAUAAAGAUAGAAAGUAGAAUGCAAUGCUUUCUAAAUUUUAUUUCUUUUAUAAUAAAGUUUUUCUAUCCUUUAUCUUGAUUUUGAUAGAUAUAAUUGAUGAAAAGUUUUUGACUUUUUUUCCUAUAUUUAUAAGAUUUCUUGCUGGCUUUCAUGUAUGUUUGCUAAUAUCAUAUCCAUACUAAUGAAUAAGAUAUUUCAACCUAAGUUGGUAUUGCCUUAAGUCUAAUAUUUCUUCUAUCUUGAAUUCUUUAUUAUUAUCUACUUCUAUAUGAGGCAAUGGUAUUUAUCUUCUUUUGGAGAUAUUCACUGUCUUACAUGGUUCGAAAAAAAACACAUGAAAUACAUGAUAUAUUUUCAUAGAUUUUGGUACAUGUAAUUUAUAAGCAACUAGAUUUACUUGUUCACAAAUAAGAAAUAGUUCAAUUUUAUGAUAAUCCAACUUAUCAUAAGAACAAAUAGUUUUAAUAUUACAAUGAAGUAAUUAUACUUUAUUAUGAAUGUAAAAAUGAUGUUGUUAUUUGCGAUAAUCAUUUGCAUUACUUUUUUCUUGUUCUUAAGCCUUUUUUAGUGAUAUCUUUCUUGUUGUAUCUAGCUCAAAUAAAUAAUUUGUCAAAUCUUUUGUCCUAAGAUUAUCAACUUUUAAAAAGUCAAAAACAUCAAGUCAUGGAUGAUAAUUAUAAUUAAUAAAGAUAAGUGUUUGUUAUAAAGAAGAAUAUAUUAUGUUAUUAUAAGUAAACUUUGUCAAUGGUAAAAUAAUUGUCCAAUCAUCUUAUUCAUAAUUGAUGAUACACCUCAAAUACUACUCUAAAAUUUGAUUUACAUACUCUAUUUGUUCAUUAGUUUGAAGAUGGAAACCCAAAGAUAGUUUUAUAUCUACCUUUAGAAUCAUGAAAAGCAUUCUUCAAAAUCUUGAUGCAAACUGAGUUCUUUUAUUUGAUAUAAUAUCUUUAGAUAAUCCAUGAUAGUAAUAGAUAUUAUUAAGGAAAAUCUUGGUUAUUUUUUUUUUACUUGUGAUAGAUUUUGUACAUGGUAAAAAAUAUAUCUUCUUAGCAAAAAAAUCUACUAUCACAAAUAUAGAGUUAUAAGAAUUUGAGACUAGAAAAUUUAUGAUAAAAUCCAUAGAAACAAAAGAUGAUGGUUAUUCUCAAAUAAAUAAUGGCUGAAAAAAGUCCAUAAGAUUGAUGAUAAGGAGUUUUUGAUCUUGAGAAAACAUCACAAAAUUAUACAAAAUCUUUGAUCGCCUUCUAUAUUUUGAAUACAAUAAUACAUUGGAACUAAUAUCUAGACAUUGGAAUUUAUAUCUAUUGCUAAAAAGUCACAACAAGCUUAAAGAACUUACAAUCAAACUUCACCUUUUAGAAUAUAUAAGUGUCUUUUAAUAUAUAAUAGAUUUUUCCUAAAUUCAAACUUCAAAAUAUCAUGAAACUUUGAAGGAUUUUCUUUAAUGCUACAAAUAAGAGGAUUAGAAGACAUAUUUGAUUAAACUUACUUAAUAAAAGUUGAAUCAAGAGUUAUUAUUGAUUUUAUUACUUGAAGAUGAAGAUGCUUUAGCUUCAAGAGAAUUUUUUAUUGUUGAUAAAAAUAGUAUUUUCUUCCUUUGGUGCAAAGUAAGAUCGUUUAAAGAGUGUGUUUGACAAACCUUAUUAUUUUCCUAGUCGAUAAGUGAUCUUAAAUUUAAAUGUUGAUAAAGAUAUAUUCUAGCAAGUUUGGUAAUAAUUUAAAAUAUGUACUGACAUAAAAUACUCAAGGUUCUUGUGAUUUGUAUACAUAAUAAUUGGACUAGAAGUAGAUUUUAAAUAAUGGCACUAUUCUUAAAAUAAAUCCAUGAUUAUAAGAAGUUCUUUGUUGUGGAGCUCAUAAUUGAUCUUGGCUAUUAAAAAAAAUUUCAAAUAAAAAGCUACUAGUAAAGUUUAUCAUUUAUUUCUAUUUAUGAUAAUACGAUAUCCAAAGCAAAAUUUGAUGUAUAUAUUUCCAUAAAAAAAUGCUUAGAAAAGACAAUACAAUAUAAGAUUAGUAUAAAAAUAAAGGCUAUUUUUAAAGCUUCAAAUGUUACUUUUGCUUCUUGAUUCUAUUAAAGUUUAUCUUUAUAAGUCAAACAUAUAAAUAGAAAUACAACUUGAGAGAAGUCCUUGAUAACAAUCCAAUAGUAGUUGGCAAAUAUCAAAAAGCAUUAGGCAUCUCUUACUAUUCUUGAAAUCUUCUAAUUUAUAAUAGUUUGAAUUUUUUUAGGAUCCAUCAUAAGUCUAUCAUUUGAAAUGAUAUAUUCUAAGAAGUCAACUUGAGCAGUGUGAAAUAUACACUUUUCUAUAUUGGUAUAGAGUCUUACAUCUCUUAGUUCUUAUAAGAUACAACAAAUAUGAAGUUUAUAUUUUUUUAUAUUUUUAGAAUAGAUUAAGAUAUUAUCUACAUAAUAGAAAAUAAAAUUAUCUAAUUUUUUUCAAAAGACAUCAUUCAUUAGAUGUUAAAAAGUUGCUGGUACAUUUAUAAGUUCAAAAGGCAUAAUAUUAUAUUUAAAAUAUUUAUACUUGAAUUGAAAAAUAGUCUUUUAUUUAUUUCUUUUUUUGAUGUAUACUAGAUUAUAUGCCCCUUAUAGAUCAAUUUUUAUAUAGAUCUUAGCUUAAUUUAGUUGAUCAAAAAGUCUAGAUAUCAAAGGUAGCAAAUACUUAUUCUUGAUGGUGAUCUUGUUGACUCUUUGAUAAUUGAUACACAUCCACAAUGAUCCAUCUUUUUUCUUGACAAAUAAAAUUAAAGCUCCUACUAGAAAUUUGAAAUGGCAUAUAAAAUUCUUAGCUAGAUUUUUUUCAAUAUAUUCUUUAAGUUUAGCCAAUUUAUUUUGUGAUAAACUAUAAAUUAGUCCAAACGAUGGUUAAAUUCGUUCUUGAAGGUCAAUUAAGCAUUCAUAUACAUGAUGUUUUGGAAGAGUAUAUACAUUCUUUUUUUCAAAUAUAUCUUAAAAAUCUUAAUAUUAGCUAGGAAUGCUAUUUGAAAUCUUUCCACUAUUAAAAAUAGAUGUGACAUAAAUGACAUAAGGUGAUCUUUCUUUUGUAACAUGCAAGAAAGCUCUUACACCUACAAAUACAAGUUUGGUUAUACUAGACUUAUGACAUUUUACUUGAUUAAUUACACUCUUAGUUAUAUUUUUAGAAAAAUCAAAACUAUGAGAAAUCCAACCUAUUUGAGGAUUUAUAAUAUGAAUGAGAAUAAUCUCUUUUAUUAGAUGAUAUCAAACUAUAUCAUUUUAUAGUAUUAGAUUAAAAGGUCCCAAAAAACAAGACAUGUUUUAUUAUAGCAUUUAUAGCUAGUAUAGAAAGAUUUAACACAUUAAAACCAUUAAUUAUUGGUCACUUUAAAAAGUUACUUUCUUUCCAAAAUAAAAUAGUAAGCAACUCAAAAUUUUAUUCUUGCCAUAAUCAAAAGUCUUAAAUAAUUGGCCUUAUUUUUUGUAAAUGGAUGGGAAAUUUAGACAAAAAAUGAAAGCAAUUGAUUGUCACAUCUUCUUCUUUUUAAACUAUAUUUUUUUCUAUGGUAUUAAUGAGGCCUUAUUUACUUAUAUAGAUGUGUUUAAUUUAACUUAAAUGCAACCUUUAAGAUUUGAGCCAUGAAUACUAAGAUCAUUCUUAUCUUUAAAUACCACUAUUGUUGCUUUCAAUUGCAAUUUAUAAUUGAGAAUGACAAGAUUGGCAUAAGAUCCAUCUACAAAAGUUUAUUAGUUUACUUCAAUGCAAUGGAUCAAAUUUAUGUAUGAGAAGAACUUUGCAAUUACUAAUUUUAAUUGCUUUCAGUACAUCAAGUUAAUUGCUAAUAAAUAAAGAUAAAUGUGACAAAAUAGAAGUUGUUUUCUUUGGACCAACUAAUACUAUAAAUAAAUAUGGUAUUAAAAAAUAAUUUUAGUAGCAAAUAGUAUAUUUUUUUAUCACAAAUUCUUUGUUAAUUAAUAUCUUCUUUAAUCUAUUAAAGAAAUUAAUGGAUUAUAUAUAGAGGUGACAAUUAACAUUAUAAAUAGUUGAUACUAGUUGAAUCAAAAGAUGAAGCAAAAAAGUAGAAAAAUGGAGAUGACGAUAGUAAAUUUGAAGUCAAAUUCUUAGUCCAAGAAAAGCUUACUUUUCUUAGUUAGACCAUUAUGUUCUUUGAUUCUACCAAAGCUACUUAUCUUAUGGCUUAUCAAGUCUUGCAAAGUCUGUAAUGUGAUAUUUGUGCUUUAAAAACCAAACAAUCUGCCAUAGAUAAUGAAAUCAAUUAUCUUUUUUAUGAAAUUUUAUUUCUAUAAUUUAAUAAUUUUUAUUUAUAAUAUAAAGUAUUACAAAUUAGAAGGUUUAAUUUAUAAUCUUGGAAUCAAAUUAGUUGAUGGAAAACAAUAUUAAAAAAGAAAUGAUAUCAAAUUAUGAAAGGUCAAUUGAGAAAAGAAUAUAUAUAUAUAUAUAUAUAUAUAAUUAAAUUUAAUAUUAUAAAUAUACUAACAAAAUAUGCUUUUAAGCCAACUUUUUAACAAAAAUAUCUUUUUUUAAAUACUAAAAAAUCUAAUUAAAAUAAUUUUAUAAAAUAAAAAAUUAUAAAAAAUUUAGAUAUAUCAAAAAAUCUAAAAAAUAUACCAAUAUUUUUAUAAAAAUAUCAAGGAAAUAAUUAAAAAAUAUAAUAUAUUUUUAGAAUAAGUAUUGUUAAAUAAAAAUUGUCUAAUAAUUUAUAAAUUAAAAUUCAACCUUCCAAUGGCUUCAAUCUUGCUUCUAUACAUAUUAAAUAAAAAUAAAUUAAAUCUCACACUUCUAAUUCCAACCUUCUAACUUACAACAAACCCAAAUCAAUUUCUUAUCCGACUUAUCCAGUAUGUAAAUAUAUGUGUGUGUACACACACACACACACACACAUAUAUAUAUAUAUAUAUAUAUAUAAUAUGAAUUCAAUUUGAAAAUGCAUGCUUAAAUUAGGGUCUGCCAAGUUGUGAGUUUGGGCUCUCAAUUUCAUGGAAGUCCCCAUUCUAUUUCGUAAUCUCAGGAUCACCUUGUUUGGUGACAGCUCACCAGCAUUUUGAAUCAACACUCCAUAUGAUGUAACAGACCAUUGUCCAACUCACACUUUUUGCAUUUUGCCUUUUCUUUUCCUUCUCUAAUCGGUGGAUAGAACACCAAAACUCAGAUCUUUGAUCCCAAAAAAGCGUGGAGGAUUUGUCAGGUGUGAGUCCCUGCGAUUAUGACACUCUCUUAAAAGACUGGAAUGAGAUUGCCGACCAUGUGCAUGACUGAACCACUUUCCGAGACUCGAUCAGAGAGGCGCAUGCUGUUUUGCAACUCCGUUUUGCCAUCAGAUACUCGCAGAACUGCAUUUUCAAAGGCCUGGCAUCGUCGUACUCCUUUGCCCACUUCAUCACUGCUGCUCUCAGCAUGCAGAAUCCUUGGAGUUUUUGCUGCUCAUGACGUUUCGUCCUCGAUCCCGUUCUCAAUGCUUGUGAUGGUGCAUCUGAUCCUCGACCAGAAUGUGAGCAGGGCUGGAUCGUAAUAAGUUUCCUGUGGGAAACAAGGUCCCAUAGGGAAAUAGGCUUGUGCACCUAGGAACUUGGUUUGAUGAUUGGGACAUGCUUCUCGGAACGAACUAUUUAUUCGAUUUCAGCAGGCUUAGGCAGGUUCUUGGUGCCAUUGAAAAUCCAGUUGCCAGUGAGAAACAUAGAGAUUAUUCGGGGGUUUUAUAUUUUCUUUCUUUCAUUCUAGUUUGAAUCGUAUAUUUGGGGUAAGAAUCGAUUUCUUAGAUGCAGCAUUCCAUUCAAGCACACAUACUGCACUCGAAGUUUUCACGAUAUGAAGAUUUGCUUCGGCAUGACGCCCUGCAGGGACAUAGCCAUCGUUGAAGCUGGGUCGAACCGAGAACACCAUUCAAUGAAAUUGUUGCAUACAACGACAUUGAGCUUGUUGGACAGCGGCCUAGAAGCCAGCAACUGCAUACCAGGCUAAGGAGGGGUGGUGAUGACAAUGCAGGGACUGAUUGCAUGGGUGCUAUUAUAUGACCAGCCUUGCACAUCGUCCUAAACCCUCUCCCAGGUAUCCAUGAUCACUAAGGAUGUUCCAACAUCCUCCUCUGCUACAAAAUCAUCCACGAAGUUUUAAUAAAACAACAAGAAGACUUUCUACUUUGAUUAACAUGUCUAUUUUGCUCAUUGGCUUCAUGUGGAGUAGAAGCAAUAUCGGCAACUUGACUGUAAAGGAAUUCACGGAAUUUUUUGUGGGGGUGCUUUUAUUUGCUGUAGUAAGUGCUUUUCCUCAGUUCUGGAAUUGUUCCUCGUGCGAUGUAGUUUGCUGGUUGAUCUUCUUUGUGUUAAUAUCAGUAAUUCUAGAUCAUAGUCUAGUGAGCCUCAAGCACAAUUGUUCAAUGUUGAGCGUAAAGAGCAAAUCCCUAGAUGAUGGUUCCGAUGAUGGAGGUGAGGAUUCUUCAGAGUUGGGAUUCCAGGAAUCCUAUUUUGUUGCUGAAUUUUUGUGCUGUAAUGUAUCCUACUUGAAUUCCAAGGACUAGACCGCGGGGUGCUGUGAUGGUGUUGAUGGCUUUGAAAAUUCCUCUCCAGUGGCCAGCGCCUAGAGUUGUGAAUUUAGCUGCAAUAAGAUAUGUUUGUUGCGAGGAGACAAUUAUACUGAAGGUGUAGUUUGGCUGCCGAACAAUUUCGUCUUGUCGGAGAGUGAUAGCGAUGGAUUUUCUCAGCAUUUCUUUGAUUGAUGUCUAGUGGCUGUUGGUUCAAUACAGAUGGUUGAAGAGGUCCUCGAGGAGCCUUCAUGUAUUGAUUUCAAGAUUCACAAUGUUGUAAGAAAUUUUGUGUCGGAGAAGGCAAUUGUUAAGAAAAUCGUUGAAGAUCUUAGAGUUGAGACUUCGCAUUUGUGUGAUGUUCCAGUAGAGGUACUUCAUAGUAUAAUUAUUCUGAGGCUUCUUUCUAAUUUUAGUUUGAGUGAUAGUAUAUUUCGGUUGCUGCAAUCCACAAGGCUUGUGUCUUGUUGGCUAAGAGUGAUCAUGUGAUAGAGGAUAGAGAAAAGACUAAAAUGUGUACCAGUGCUACUAUGACUACGAAGUGGGGGUUAAUGAUUGAGGCUUAUUACUACAAACAGAGGAGUGAGCUAGGUGAUGGAAUUGCUUCUGAUUUUUAAAAUUGGACCUGCUUGAAUGAAAUCAUAUUCAGUCUGGAUCUAAAUUUUUCAAACAACCCGUGCCCCAAUGGUUUGGUAAACAUGUCGGCUAUUUGCUCCAAUAAGGGCACAUAAAUCAAUCUGGUUUUUUCCAGUUCUACUUUUGUUUCUUCCAUUUCUACUUUCUCUCUAGUGUAAUGGUGAUGAGUAGCUAUAUGUUUUGUAGGUGGAUUAAUAUUAGGGUUUUUUGCCAUUUUGACACUAUUUCCAUUGUUGCAAUAGAUUGGCAUUGGUCUUUGUAUUUUUAGUCCAAAGUCCUUUGUGAGCUUUUUCAGCCAAAGCUGAUUCUUUGGUUGCAAUGGUAUAAUCCAUGUAUUCAGCUUUAAAAGAAGAAAGAGCUAUUAUAGGUUGUUUCUUUAAUAGCCAAAUUAUUGUAUUGGCUUCCAACAUAAAUACAAAUUUUGGUAUUGAUCAACCAUCAGAUAUGUCUCUUAUCUAAUUUGUGUCAAUAUAUCUUGAGAAUGUUAUUGCUGAUUUUAUUGAGUAGAGAAUGAUAAUCAAAUGUGUUUGCAAUGUAUCAUAGAAUAUGCUUUGUUGCUAUUAAAUGAAGAACUUGUAGCUUCAUCAUGAAUUUACUCACAAUUCCAAUUAAGUAAGAAAGAUUUGAUUGUGAGUGAGUAAGUUGUAUUAAUUUUCUAACAAUAGAUCUAUAAUAGGUAGAAUCAAUGGUCUCUUCUUGAAUGUCAAUGGUAAAUUUGAGCCUUUCAACUAUUAGAGUGAAAAUUGAUUGACAUCCUUCUAGAUCAAAGUGUCGAAUUACUUAAAGAGCAUAGUUUUGUUGUAUCAUGAAUAGGCCUUGUGGAAUUGUAAUAAUUGCAGCCUUAAAAUAGAGUGUGAGAUUACUCUCUUCUAAUUUUGAUAUUUCAAAUUUUGACUCUAAUUGUGAUUUGAACCAUGUGAUCAAGUUGAUGCAAUUUCCUAUAAAGAAGAAGUUGUCUACAUAAAUGACUAGAAGAGAGCUUUUUUGUUCAUGAUGUAUAACAUAAAGAUUAUCAUCUCCUUCUUUGUUAAUAAAUCCUUAGUUGUAUAGGAAAGAAUCAAUUAUAUCAUAAUAUACUUUUAGUGCUUACUUUAAGCCAUAGCAAGCUUUGUAAAGACAACAAACUCACUAUUCUUGUCUAGGUUUUUCAAAACCUUAAAGUUAUAUAAUACAGACAUCUUUCUUGAGAUCUCUAUAAAGAAAUGCAAUCUUUAUACCUAUCUGAUAGAACUAUCAUUUUUACUAUGCAAAAAGAACUAAUAGCAUACAAGUAGUAUCCCAUUUGACAAUUGGAGCAAAGCUUUCUUUAUAAUCUAAGCCUUUUUGUUGUUCAAAAUUCCAAACUACUAGUCUUGAUUUUUUCUUUUGUAAGAUUCUAUCUGCUUUUAUUUUUGCUUUGUAAACCUAUUUUGUGGAAAUUACAUAAUAUCCAUGUAGAAGAGGAGUAAUUAUCUAAGUCUUAUUUAUAUAAAUGGAUUGAAUUUCUUCAUGCAUGGAGAUUUAGCAUCUCUCAUCCUAAGCUACAUCUUUGAGGAUUGCGGAUUUAAUAAAUAGGUCGAUCAACUAGCAAAAAUAAACUUGAAGCUAUACUAGUUUUAUUUAUAGACAUUGAGAUUGAAUUGAAAGCAUAGAAAUCUCUUAACACUUGAGGCUAUAAUAAUCAGUUGAUUGAUGUAGUUUGGUAAUUUUAAUAUUUUAAGAGUGCAUAUCAUUAGCUGCAUGUAGUAUAUACAAUUUAUCUAUAUUAUUGAAAUCAAUAAUGGAUGAUAUAAAAUUAUCUACCAAAGACUAAAAAAAUUUUGAGUUUUGAUUUAGCACCAAAGUUGGAAUAUUAGUUGAAUUGUCAUUUGACAUUGUUGGAUUGUCUUUCAAAAGUUGUGUUGAAUUGGUCUACAAAAUCAUUUUUAAUUGAUUAUUUGACGCAAGUUGUAGUUGUAAUAUAAUAAUAGAAGUAAUGUUGUGUUGUUGUUUGUCAAUAGCUUUUAGUUCCAAAAAUAUUAAUUUAGAUCAUCAAAGAAAGCACUAUUGCUACCAAAAAGAUUGUUUGUUGGCUUAAGAAACUUUGAUUUGUCAAAAUAGAUAUCUUUUAUAACAAGGAUUUUUUUAUAAUCAUUCACAUAUAUUUGAAAUGCUUUUAAAAUAUUGUCAAGACCACGAUAUAGUCCAAAAGUAGAUCAUGAAUUAAGUUUGUUUUAUUGAAUAUUGUCACAUCUAAUAAAACAAAUAUCUAAAAAUCUUUACAUUACUAAAGUCAAGAUAAUUGUUGGUUAAAACUUCAUGUGGUGUGCAAUUGUUGUUAGAUCUUAUAGGAUUAGAUUUCAUGAUAAACAUUGUAGUAUAGACAACUUCUAUUUAGAUGAAUAAUAGUACAUUGCUGCAUAGUAAUAUGGAUUAUGAUUUAUUUAAAACCGAUCCAUUUUUCUUUUCUAACACUAAUUUUUGUUAGGAUGUAUAGGCAACACUAAAUUACCUUUGAAUGCCAUAGAAUUCAAAAUAUGUUGUGAAUUUUCAAGAAAAAUUCUCAUUCUUUGUCAAAUCUCACAUAGAGAAUCUAAUAGGAGGUUUAUUUUUCUAUUAUAGUACGGAAUUUCUAAAACAUAUCUGAAGCUUUAUCCUUAGUUUCCAUAAAAUAGAUCCAUGAGUAUUUAUUGAAAUCAUUAAUGGUAAUAGCUAAAUUAUAUAAAAUUUUUAGAGAAAUUGAAUAGCUAGAUUAAGAGAUAUAAAUUUCUAAAUUUGAGAAGAAGAAAUCUUUUGCAGAAAAAAUAUAUUUUGAAGAGUUUUACUACUAUAUAAAUAUAUUUUGAGUAGAACAAAUUUUAGACAUAGAAAGUUUCUAUAUCUUUAAUUUUACAAAAUCUAGUACUUCUAUUCAAAAUCUACAUAAAAUAGUAGUCCAAAGUACUUAUGAAUAAAUCAAUAGAUUUUAAAAAAUAGAAUAACUUGACUAAAAUUUUAUCUCAUUCACCUUACAUGGUUAUCUAUACAAACCACCUACUACAAAAUACAAUACACUAGAAUUAAACAAGGUGAGUAAUAAUACUACAAAUCUAUCUUUAGAUCAUCUAUGAUUAUUUAUUGAAAUAGAUCUAUGAAUAUUUAUUAAAAAAAACCAAAAAACAAAAAAAUCAAAAAAUUGCUACUGAUCUUCUAGCAUUGUAGAAAUCCUAGCAAGUGUUCUAAAUCCUAACUUACAAGUACCUAAGUACUAUUUUCUUCAUAUUUCAAAAAUCCAAAACUCAAAUGCCACAAAAUUUAUGCAUAAAGUUUAUUAACAUGAUUACACACAUUCUAAAAACUUUUGAGCCAAAAUCUUGUCAAAUUGCAUAAGAUAUAGCUCAUAAUACAACCACUAGUAAAUCAAGUUACUUACUACCCUUAGAUUGUAAGCGCUAACUUCAACCUCUAAUAUCUCCUUCAUCCAAACUUGGAAUCUAUUGAAUAAUAUGUCAAAAGUGUAACUAAAAAAUUAUUCUUUCCAAUCCUAAUCACCGAUUCUUCAUUACUUUCUACACAUGUGCAUUAUAUCCAAAAGAGUGAUAAUAGGUACAAAAUCAACACCUUAAUUUUGAGUGCCUAUAUUUUUUUCAUAUAAACUUCAAAUUAUACAAAAUUUCCACCAAAACCAUAGCCACAAACCUAAACUUGCUGACCUUAGCCUCCCAAGUUUGAAUGACCUCAAAAGAAUAACCCUAAUCUCCAAUAAGGCUUCGAGCAGCCUCUUUGAAGCCCAUUAGGCAUGAUUUUUGGCCAAUAGGAAUAUAGAUUUUUAUCAUCCAUCUUCAUUCAUCCAUAUAGAUGCCGUAACUACUCUUUUUGCUGCCAAAAUCCUUCUUCAAUGUUUUUUCUUAUAAGAUCUAUAUAAUAUAUGUCCUAAACACCAAAUAAAAGAAACAAAAUAAGACUUCAAAGAUCAUCAAUGUCUAAUAAAGGUGACUUUAAAUAUAUAAAAGUUACUAUAAAUCAAAAUUAAUCUUAAAAGCUACUAUAAAAAAAAAAUUAUAUAAAUUCUAAUAGUAGUUUUUUUAAACAACAUCUUUUUAAAAUAGUGAUCUAACUACAUUCUACAACCAAUUGAAAUCCACUAAUAUGGCUCUUAUCAUGUUACUUAAUAAAUUAUAUAUUAAACAUAUAAAUACAAUAUUUUCACAUGGUAGCCAAACGACAAUACAAUAAUAUUAAAUAGUUACUUGAAAAAAGCCUAAAAGAAUUUGAAUGAAGAAUCCAAUCAUUUUUAGAGUGGCCAAAGAUAUGAAGUUCUAGUGCAUCCAAAAUUUCAUCAUUACCAGGCAGAUUGUGAAAAAAUUUCUCAUCUUGUGUUUCUUCUGUAAAAUUUAGUCUUAGGUUUUGGAUGGAAUUAUUAUUGUCAUGUAUCUAAAGACUAAAGCUCCUUAUUGCUAGAUAGUUUUCAUUCAAGGUAAUACUUUAAUAAAGAAUCAAUGUAGAAGCUCUACAAAAGUACAAUAUGUGGCCUAAUUUUCCACACCAAUAUCAAAUAGUGGUGUUCAUUAUUGAAAAUCCUCUAAUAUUGUGUCAAUGAGAGUUUAUAAAGGUUUGAUAAUUUUAGAUUAAUUUACUUGGUUCUUUAUUAAGACCUACUAUAUAGAUUUCAAAUGUACAUUAUAAGGGCUUUAUGAGAGCUUUGUGAGACCUCCAAAGAGUGGUGUUUAUCUUUAUUAUUUAAAGUUUGCUCCAUAAUUCUUGUAAUAUUGAAAUAACUUUUUUGAAUUAAAUCUAUAAAAAAAAUUUAUUGAACUAUUGAAGAGUCACUUAAAGACUAUAUGUACUAUAAUCUUAUGUGAUUGUAUCUGAUCUAUGGCUUUAAGAUCUUAAAAUAUUUUAUUCACUGAUUGCACAAAGAAGACCAUAUUUUGUUGUUCAUCUAUGUAGAGUUACUUCCAGUGAUUGAAUAUGAUUAUAAUAUUAAAAAUAGUAUUAAUAUUGAAUAUUGUAUUUAGAUAUUUUUAGGCUUAUCUUAAAUUUGUGAUGUUGAUAGUAUUAUAUUGGCAUUUGAAAAUGAGAAAAAUCUAGAGCAUAGCUUUUGUUCUCUAUUUUUGUUUGCAAGAAGUAUUUUUUUUGAUUUUAUCUAAAUCUUAAGAUUCUUUAGUUUUGGCUUGUACAUCAAAUAAUGUGGUUGAGAAUAAAGUUAUAAGUGGCAAUAGUUCAAUCAAAUUUUAGAGAUCUUUCUUGAAGAUACUUUGUAAUACUAUUGACCAAUGCUUAUAAUUGUUUGGACUUGUCAAUAUUGUAUCUUUUAAGCAAAUAUCCUCUAGAUUGUUCAUCUUAUUUUACAAAUGUAUACUACAUAGCUAAAAAAAGAUAUUACCUAAAAUAAUAUAAUAUUAGUUAGAAACUCUAGCUUAUUGGUCAUUGAUAACUAGAAGAAGAAAAUACACAACAAAAAAUAAUGGUGAGCUUCUUUUUUUUAUACUAUGAAGGAAUAAAAUCAAUAAUAUAAAAAAAAUGGUAUACACUUAUAAAAGAAAUAGUGCUUACUUACCUUCAUCUUCUACUUUCAUCCUUAUAAUUUUUUAUAUAUAAAGUCUAUUAAGUUAUUUUACACUAGUUAUAGACCAAAGUUAAAUUCUAAAUAUAAUAAUUCAUUUUGAUAAUAAAUAUAUUAUUUUCAAGCAACUCUUUAUAACUAUUUUAAUAUAAUAUCAAAGCUAUUUUUUCAUAUUACAUAUGUUCUUGCUUGAAAAUGCAUCAGACACCUAGCUAUGAAAGGUAAGUAAAAAUAUAAGAAUAAUACUAUCAAGUCUAAUAGAAUCUUAAAUAAUCUUAAGUAAAUCUUAAUAAUUUUGAUUUAACUUUGAUUAAUUCAAAAUAAAUUUAAAAGAAGUUAUAAAAGAAAUACAAAGAAAUUCCAAAGUAAUUCCAAAGAAAAAUAACAAAAAAUCUUAAAGAAAUAUAAAAAUAAAAAAUUCUAAUAUAACUUUAAUUAAAACCCAAAUUAAAACUUAAUCAAAUUCUAUGUCAAAUCAUAAUAAAAUCCUAAUAAAAUCCUAAAUCCUAAUAAAACCUUAAAAAAAUCUUAAUAAAAUUCUAAUGAAGUUUUAAACCAAAUCCAUAGAAAAUCCUAUUCCUAAACAAAUCCUUGACCAAAUCUUAAGCCCUAAUCAAACUAUAGACAAAUCCUAAACCAAACUCUAUAGCAAAUUUGAACCUCAAGAAUUAAUAAUCAAAUUAUUAAUAUUAAUUCAAAACUUGAAUAUUUCUUAAUAUCUUAGUUAAAAAUAAACAUAAGGAAGAUGAAAUUGAUUGCACUUUCCAAUUGAGAGAAAUGCAAGAUAAUCCAAUCGGGUGUUGAAUGGCUUCUUAUUCCAAUCUAAAUACUAAACUUCCAGUACCAAUAUCUCCUUCUUGAAUCAUUAAAUAACUCUCAAAUUUUAUUUAAAUAUUGGAAAUCGAAUCUAAUAUUGAUAUACAAAUGAAAAUAAAAAACCACUUCAAUUCAAUUGAUAGAUCGCUAAAGAUCUUACAAACACUCAUUAACCCUCAAACUCCAAUUUUUAAGUCCUCAAUCCACAAAAACCUUCACACACUUCAUUCUAAUCAUUUGAUUGAUUUCAAAAUUUGCACACACAUUCACAACUAGUAUACCAAUACAUUGAUCAAAAUUUACUUAUACAUACACCACAAAACUUAAUAAAUCUUCAAAUUUGUAAACAUAUUUUUAUUUUUUAAAAUCUAAACCACUCAAGAAUAUCACCAACUUUGAAAAUUCUUCAAAAAAUCAAUAUUGAUUCAAUUGACAUAAAACUAAUGCUCAAAAAUCUCUCUUCAAGUUUUUUCUCAAAUUCCAUAUUUUGAUCUCUCAAAGAACCCCAAAGUCGCCAUAUGGGCGCAGUUUUUUGCCUCAAGGUCUGAUUUUGAUCCAAGUUGACAACUAGUCCUCUCCGAGUAUCAAUUUUUGGAAAUUUGAAGUAAAUUUUACUUUAUAUUAUUGUUAAUUUUCUCUUAAAUAUGCAUAUGUCAAUUUUUUAUCUUUUUUUAUUUUGAUUUGGCUCAUUUAUGCUUCUACAAAGUAAAUAGAAAUUCUUUCUAUAAAAGAUAAUUUUAAGACUAAAUCUUUACUAUCUUUCUAUUAUUAUCUUUAUUUUUCUACUACAUCUUUCUAUUAAGCUCUUUUAUAAUAACAUCCAUACUUUUAUUUUUCACUAUAUAGUCAUAUUACUACAUGAUACUAUAUUAGAUGUAAAAUAGAUAAAAAAACUUUAUACUAUAAUCAUCAAUUGAUUGAUAAUGGAAGCUACGUAUUUAUUAGAAGUGAAUGAAUAAUAGUAGAUAAAAAAGAAAAAACCUCAAAUUAUGAAGUUAAAAAAAGCAAUAGAUUAAUAGGUACAAAACUUCAAUACAUGAAGACUUAAGAUAAUAAAAAAAUUAAAAUAAAAUAUUUUAUGGAUACUAGUGGUAGAAAAGAGUACUCCAAAAGCAUUUUUGGAACAAAAGCAAUAUAAUACUUAAGAAGGAGAGGCCUGAUUUAAUGAAAAUAGACUUUAUUUGUAAAAAAAAAAAUUUAGAUAUAUAUAUAGACUUAUUUGUAGGAAAGACACCAAUCUUUGUCAAAUAGAUCUUAAAAGUCAAACCAGGUUUAAAUGAUAAAUUUGACAAACUAAAAAUUUGUAUAAUGGCAAGAAGUUUUGAGCAAGAAGAAGGCAUUGACUACUUUGAACAUUUGUUCCUAUUAUUUGUUGAUUGAAAGUCCAAAGCAUUAUAAUAUUUGCUAAAAAAAAAUAAUAAAAACUAUUAUAUUUAGAUAUUUAAAUAUAUUUUUUAAAUAAAAAAAUUAUUGAAGAUGUUUAUAUGAAUGUAUGUCUAAUAUUUGAUAAUAAAGGUAGCAAGAAAAAAGUUUGUAAAAUAUACCACAUCUUAUAUAGAUUACAAGAAGCACAUUGUGUAUAGAAUAAUAGAAUAAAAAGCUUCGUAAAAGAAUAAGCUUUUUAACAAAAUAAAGGAGAUCCAAACAUAUAUUUAAUUAUAUUAAAAAAAAACUAUAUAUUAUAAUUUUUUAUACAUAGAUGAUAUAAUAGUUACCAAAGAUAAUUUAGAUAAUAUUACAAAUUUCAAAUAAAAGUUAAUAAGCACAAUUUAUCUAAUAGACUUAAAAGAUGAUAUGAUUUAUUUUUUUAAAAAAUUAUAUUAUGACAAGAUUAGAAUCUACUUUUACUAAAAAUAAUAUAAAAAUAGAUUUUUCAAAAGAUUAAUCUCAUAAAUUACAAACUAUCAAAAAUAUCUAUAAAUUCAAAAAUAAAAAUUCAAAGAAAAAUUAGAACACUUGUAGUUGAUCCUAUAAUAUAUCAAAACUUAAUUUGAAGAUUAUAAUAUGCCAAUAUAAGUUAUUAGGUGUCAAAGAUAUGAAUCUCAAAAAAAGAGAAUCCUCAAUACACUCUUGUGUCACUAAAGAGAAUUAGAAAGUCACUCCAAAGAUAAUAUAAUAUUAACUAGAAUGGCUAUUGCCAAAGACAAGUAGACUUGAAUGGCAUUGAUAAAAGUGAUGAAAGCUCCAUUCUUGCUUCCAUAUAUACUCUUAACUAGGAGCUAUGUGGCAAUGUCUUAUAGAACCUCCAAAACAUGUUAACUUUGCUAGCCACAUGUCUUAACUUGCAAGUCAAGUUAUCUAUGUAUGUGCCACAUAGUUAGCUUGUUUUACAAGCUACUGUACGAAAGAAACUUAUUCCACAAGCUACCAACACGUGAUUAACUUGUUGGCCAAGUUUCCAACCUACAAACAUAUUUAAAGUCAAACUGGAUCUAUGAAGCUUCUAGGAAGCUUUAUUAAAAGUCUUUAUGAAAUAAAUCUAUAUUUACCUAUUUCUACCUAAUCAUAUAAGUAAUUAUUGAUAUAAAUGUAUAUGUUUGUGAUAUUACCUUCCCUUCUAAGAACAAGUUCCAUGAAGAGCAGUCUUCAUAGGUUGAAAAAGUCUAAGAUGCGGUAAAUUUUAUUUGCCUCAAACUUCAAUCUUUGCUUUCUUUGAAGAUAGUUGAUAGGCCCUCUUAGCCAUUGAUAGUGUUCCAUACCAGGGCAAAAAGACUAUCCUAUUAUUUGGUUGUUGUUGAGACCUUUGUAACUUCUUUUAAUUAAAACAUUUGAAAUACUAUCAAGAGUUGUUCCUAUUUCUAAUAAAAUCACCAAACCGUGGAAGUUUCUUCCAAAGUCAUGAUAUCAAACACAUUAUAUCUUGCCAUCUAAUCAAAGAAGGACAUGUCAUUCUUGAGGAUCUUCAUUUUGAUUUUGUCAUCUUCAAGGUUGCGACAAUUACAAUGUCUUAUCUGGUAAGUUUACAAAUCAAACUCUUGAAUUGAAUCUACUGGUUAUUGAUUCUCCAUCUCUUUAGUGUGACAAAUAUACAUAAGUUAUAAGAAAGAUAGAACGUAGAAUAUUAUCUUCUUUUGAUCUCAUUUCUUUUAUAACAAAAAUUUGCUAUUCUUCAUCUUGGUUUUGAUGGAUUUUAUUGAUGAAAAGCUUCAACUUUUUUUGCUGUAUUUAUAAGAUUCUUUAAUGGCUCCCAUGUGCAUUCACUAAUAACAUAUCCGUGCCAAUGAACAAGAUAUUCUAACCUAUUUUGGUGUCACCUUCAGUCUAAGACUUCUUCGACUUUGAAUUCUUGAUUAUUAUCUACUUCUAUAGAAAGAAGUGGUAUUUAUCUUUUCAAAAUAUUCACUAUCUUAUACGGCUUAAGAAAAGAUACAUGAAAUACAGGGUGGAUCUUCAUAGACUCCAAUAGAUGUAAUUGAUAAGUAACAUGAUUGAUUUGUUGAUAUAUUAAAAAAAGUCCCAGCCUACUAUAGUCCAACUUAUCACAAGGACAAGUAGUCUUGAUAUUGCAAUGAAGUAACCAUACCUUGUCACCUAUGUUGAGUUAUGGUUGCUCCUUGCGAUAGGCAUCUGCAUUGGUCUUUUGCAAUCCUUGAGCUUCUUUUAAUUGUAUCUUCAUUGUUGCAUGUAGCUCUGACAAAUAAUUUGCUAAAUCUCCUACCACAGAAUUAUCAACUUUUGAAAAGUCAAAAGUAUCAAGUCAUGGAUGAUAACCAUAAUUAACUAAGAAAGAUGUUUAUUAAGUGGAAGAAUGUACUAAAUUAUUGUAUUCAAACUCUGCCAAUGGCAAAAAAAUUAUCCGAUCAUCUUGAUGAUAGUUGAUGGUACACCUCAAAUACAGUUAUAAAACUUGAUUUACCCAUUUUUUUUGCCCAUCAUUUUGAAGAUGAAAAGUCAAAGAAAGCUUUAUAUCUAUCUUUAGAAUCUUAAAUAAGAUUUUCUAAAAUCUUGAUAUAAAUUGAGUCCCCCUAUCUGAUAUAAUAUCCUUUGAUAAUCCAUGAUAGUAAUAGAUAUUGUUAAUAAAAAGCUUAGCUAUUUCUUUACCUAAAAUACAUUUUGUACAUAAUACAAAAUAUGUCAUUUUGGUGAAGUGAUCUAUAAUUAAAAAUAUAGAAUUAUAUGAAUUUGAAACUAAGAGAUCGUUGAUAAAAUCCAUAGAAACAAAAGACCAUGGUUGUUCUAGAAUAGGUAAUAGUUAGAACAGUCCAUAAAAUCAAUGGCGAGGAAUUUUGGAUCUUGAACAAGUAUUGCAUGAUUGUAUAAAAUCUUUGAUUGCCUUUUAUAUUUGAGGCCAUCAAAAAUCUCUUGAUAUUAGCUCUAAAGUCUUAUUGUAUCCAAAAUGUCUAGCUAAUGAAAAAUCAUGACAAGCUAGAAGGACAGUAAUCAUGCCUUGCCUUCUAGAAUAUAUAGGCAAUCUUUGAAAUAUAGUAGGUUGUUCUUGAAUUCAAACUUUAAAGAGUCAUAGGACUUAGAAGAAGUAUUCUUGAUAUCAUGAAUGGAAAGAUGAAAAAACAUACUUGAUUGAAUUUUCUUGACAAAGAUUGAAUCAACAAUCAAUGUUGAUUUUAUUACUCAAAGAUGAAAAUGCUCAAACUUCAAGAAGAUCUUUCUUUGUUGAUCAAAAGAUACAUCUCUUUCUUUUGGUGGAAGAUAAGAACGUCUAAAAAAGAUGUCCAAUAGACCUUGUUAUUUUUUUUUUUUAUCGAUAAGUAAUCUUGAAAUUGAAUCUGGAUAAAGACUUGUUCCAAUGAGCUUGACAAUGAUUCAAAACAUGUGCUAACAUGAAGUACUUAAGGUUCUCAUGAUAUGUAUACAUAGUAAUUGGACUUAAGGCACCUUGUAGAUAGUAACAUCAUUCUUGAAAUAAAUCCAUGAUUGCAAUGAGCUCUUUGUCAUGGAUCUCAUAAUUAAUCUCAACUGCUAAAAAUUUCUUCAAAUGGAAAGCUAUUGGAUGGAGUUUGUUAUUUAUUCCUAUUUGUGACAACAUGACAUCUAUCGUAAAGUCUGACGCAUCUGCUUUUACAAAAAAUAUCUUUGAGAAAUCGAUGCAAUGUAAGAUUGGUAUAAAAGACCAUAUAUAACAUAAGGAUUCUAGAUCAAAGAAUGGAGUUAACUCGAUAUUAAAACAACGACUGAAUAUAAGGCAAGAAGGUUCUGGCUAGACCACAAGAAGUGAGUUGUCAAGACUAAAGAUCCCCUCAACUUCAACUCCUAUAUAUAUAUAUAUAUAUAUAUAUUAGGUCCUAUGAAGUUUCUUGAGAAGUUUGUAUGAGGUUUGAAAAUAAAGCAAGCCUAAGAUCCUUCUUCAUCAACUUCUUAAAUCAUCUAAAGCCUCCUAGAACCUUUUAGGACCUCCUAUGACUUUCUAGAACUAUCUUAGAAUCUACUAAAAUCUUUCGAAACCUUUUGAAACCUCCUAAAACCUUGAAGAGCCUUUUUAGAGCCUAUUGGUACCUUUUGGAACCUUCUAGAUCCUUCUAAAAUCUUCUAGAAUCUUUUGAAACCUUCUUCAAUUGUAUGUCUGUGACAUCACCUCUUCUUUUAGCUUCAAGGUCUCUAAGAAGUAAUGUUAUAACAAGCUAGUAUGUGCACCACAAGUUGAAGAUCUAUCGCCUGGUGUUUGUUAUAUAUUCUAGUUGUUUUUUAUAAGAUAAAUGAUUUAUAGGUCCUUAUAUCCAUCAAUAGUACUCCAAACUUUCUAUUUGUGACCAAGUAUAAACUUUGAUAUCUUCAUUAUGGAAUCAUCCUACAAACACUCUUUCUAGAUGUCUUUUAUAGGUAGAUUCUACCUCGAAUAUAAUUACGAGUGACCUAUUACUAGGUAUCUUUUGACAUCUUCAUAAUUCAGGUGGCUCUUCAUCUUGAGAUUAUCUUCGUAAAUUAUUUAGUUGAAAUGGUAUGAUCAGCAAGGCAUCUAUCUCUUGACUAUUCAUAUCAUAUAAAGUAGAUAAGACCAAAAGAAUAUAAGCAAGCUAUGAUUAUGAACUCAAACUAUUGACUUAUAUAAUUCUAAACAUUUGAAAAAAUUAUCUUUUUAGAGGUUGCUUCCUCCCCUUCUUUAUGAGGCCAAAAACUAAGAAUCUUCAUAGUAAAGCCAUCUUAUCAAGCUACUGUUCUUCUUUUUGAAGCUUUUGGUUUAGAUGGAUCUCUUUUAUAGAACCUUUGAACCUUCAUUUGUGCAUUUAUAAGGUUUUCAACUAGUUCCUACAUACAAUCAUUGAUAUCAUAUCUGUGCCAAUGGACUAGAUUUUCAAGCCUUCUAUGUCUUAUUUUUGAAUCUAAUACCUCUUCUACCUCAAAUUCAACAUAAUCAUUGAUUUCAACCAUAGGAAGUGGUGGUUGUCUUUGACCUCGUAUGUUUGAAUCUUUAUACCUUUUUAAAAGUGAAAUAUGAAAGAUUAGACGAAUUUUCAUAGAUGAAGGUAAUUCCAAGUGACAAAUUACGUAAUUAAUUUGUUUUUGAAUCACAAAUGGUCCCAAUCUUUGAUAGUCCAACUUCUUAUAUAGCCUAUUGGUUUUUAUGUUGUGCAAAAGCCAUACUUUGUCACCAACUUGGAAUGGAAGGUGUUCCUCCCUCAAUUCAUCUGCCAAUAGUUUAUAAUGUUGUUGAGUCAUUUCUAGGUAAGUCUUCAUGGUUGCUUGAAGUUUGACCAUCUUCGUAGCAAAUUCCUCAACUGCUAGAUUUACCAACUUUGAGGGUUCUAUCAUAUCCAACUUUUGAUGAUGACUGUAGUUUGAGUAGAAUGAUAUUUACUAUGUAGAUGCAUGGAUUAUGUUGUUAUAUGCAAACUCUAUCAAUGAAAAGUAAGAAAUCUAAUCAUCUUAUUGACAGUUGAUGGUAUACCUCAAAUUUGGCUCAAAGAUUUGGUUGAUCUGUUCCAUUUGGCCAUCAGUUUGAGGGUGGAAGGCAAAAAAAAGGUUGUUGUCAAUCUUAAGAAUCUUGAAAAGUACCUUCCAAAACCUUGAUACAAAUUGUGGCCCAUGAUUUGAUUUAAUAUCAUUUGGCAAUCCGUGGUAAUGAUAGACAUUGUCAAUAAAGAGUCUUCUCAUUUCUUCACUAAUAAUUGACUUCUUGCAAGAUAUAAAAAGUACCAUCUUCGUCAAUCGAUCAACAACUACAAAGAUAGUAUCAAAUGAGUUUAAUGGUGGGAGAUCUAUAAUAAAAUUCAUAGCAAUAGAUGACCAUGGUUGUCUUAGAAUAGGAAGGAAUUGAAGAAAUUCAUAUGGCUGAUGUCGAGGGUUCUUUAACCUUGAAUAAGUAUCACAUGAUAGUAUGAAUUUCUUAACGUCCUUCUAUAUUUUAGGCUACCAAAAGUCUCUAGAUAGAAGUUCUAAGGUCUUAUUGAAUCCAAAAUAUUUGGCUGCAAGGAAAUCAUGGCAUAUUUGAAAAAUGCACAAGCAAGUUGGUUCUUCAGGAAUGAACAAACGUUCUUCAAAGAACAAGAGAUUUUCUUCAUACUUGAAUUUAGAAGACUUUUUAAGAAGGUUGUUGAUAAGAUGCUUGAUAUUAAGAAUAAGAAGGUCCGUAUUUGAAGCUUUACGAACCUGAUUAAGAAAUGAUAAAUCCACAAGCAUUGAUAAUUAGUUGCUCAAAGAUGAAAUAACUCAAGUUUUAACAAGAUUGUUCAUUGUUGAUCAUAUGUUACCUUACUUUCUUUUGCUUCAAGGUAGAAAUGUCUUGAUAAUACAUCUAAUAAUCCUUGUUGGCUCUCAAGUUGAUAUGUGAUGCAAAAGUCAAAUCGUGAUAAAGUUAUACUCCAACGUGCUUGGUGACAGUUCAAUAUUUAGGCUGACAUGAAGUAUUCAAGAUUCUUGUAAUCUAUAUAUAUAGUUACCGGAUGAGAAGAACCUUUAAGAAAGUGGCGCCAUUCUUAGAAAGAAUCUAUGAUAGCAAGUAGCUCAUUAUCAUGGAUUUUAUAAUUAAUUAUUGUCACUGAGAUUUUUUUAGAAUGGAAUUGAAUCGGAUGAAGUUUGCCAUCUUUUCUAUAUUGUGACAAAACUACUUCCAAUCUAAAGUCUGAGGCAAUGGUUUCUAUAAAAUAGGGUUUUUUGAAAUCUAGAUGUAUUAAAAUUGGAAUUAUUUUGAAAGCAUCUUUUAAGCUUUGAAAAGCUUUCUCUACUUCAAGGUCCCAAUUUAGUUUGUCUUUGCAUGUCAAUUGUAUAAAAAGAUCAACAAUCUUAAAGUAAUUCUUAACAAAAAUCCUAUAGAAGUUCGCAAAUCCAAAAAAGCAUUAGACAUCACGUAUAAUUUUUGGCUUUGUCCAAUUGUUGAUUACUUGUACUUUCUUUGGAUCCAUAAAAAGGCCUUUGUUGAAAAUAAUAUAUCCAACAAAUUCGACUUGAGGUGCAUGAAAUACACACUUCUCUAGUUUUUCAUAUAGCCUAGCACUUUGUAGCUUUUUCAGCACAAGGUAGACAUAUUUUUCAUGGUCUUUCAAAUUCUUGGAAAAGAUCAAAAUAUCAUCCAAAUAGAUGACAACAAAGUCAUUGAGAUACUCACAAAAUAUGUCAUUCAUUAAAUGUUGGAAUAUAGGUGGAACAUUGAUAAGUCCAAAAGUUAUGACAUUGUAUUCAAAAUGUCCAUACUUGGUGUAAAAUGUUGUCUUCCAUUCAUCUCUCUCUUUAAUGCAUACCAAGUUAUAUACACCUCGUAGAUCAAUCUUUAUAAAGAUCUUUGCUUGACUAAGUUGAUCAAGAAGUCUGGAUAUCAACAAUAAUAGAUAUCAAUUCUUUACUAUGAUUUUAUUAAGACCACGAUAAUCAACACACAUUCAUAAGGAUCCAUUUUUUCUUUUUAUAAAUAAUAUCGGAGUACCAGCUAGUGACUUGGAAUGUCAAAUAAAAUUCUUAGCCAGAUUUUCUUCAAUUUACUCUUUUAAAGUUGCAAGCUCAUUCUAAGAUAAAUUGUAGAUGUAUCCAAAUGGUGGAUGAGCACCUUCUUAAAGGUCAAUCGUACAAUCAUAAGAGGGAUGCUUUGAUAGGAUAUCCACAUUUUUCUUUUCAAAUAUAUCUACAAAAUCUUUAUACGCCUCUAGAAUUGUUGUUAUAACAACCUAUGAAUUCUCAACUAUACUCUAAAUUAUAAAUUUUAGUUAUUUUCUUAUUUUAUGAUAAUUGAAUAUGUUAUAUUAAGAUUUAUAUAAGUAGAAUUUAGUUUUAUAGAAUUUUUAGGAUUAAAACCCUUGAUAGUAUAAAUUAUAGCCUAAUUCCUUGAAUUAGGUUAAUUAGGACUAAAGUGAUAAGAGUUAAAAAAUUAGAAUAGCAACUUAGUUAGUUUAAUAAUUUAGAGAUUAUUAGUCAUUAAUAUAAGGAUUGACUAAAAGCCUAUGAGUACAUCUAUAAUCAUUCACAUGAUUUAGGAGUUGGAAUUAUAAUUCUCUAAAAGAUUUAGGAAAGUUAGCAAUGAUAAUUUUGGAUUUUCUUCCAAAUUCGACAAAUUCAAGCGAUAUGGUGGUUCUUCUACUUAAUGGGAGUCUUUUUAAUGCAAUGGUGGUAACAAAUUUACCUCGUGGAGUGAAGAAAACAAGAUCAGAAAUCUCUCCUUCAAAAUACAAGAGAAGCAAUGAAAUUCUGAUUUUGAAGAAUUUCACAAAAAUUGCCAAGAUCCUUGUAAGUAAAAACUUCCAUGAAAAUUAUAAUUGAGCAUGGAUUGAGGCAUGUGAGUAGUCGAUCUUAGCUUAAAAAGGUGUUUUGAAUACAAUAGUAAAGUUAGAUUUACAAAAAAAAAUGCUUUCUUGACCACUUACAAGAGCCAUCAGCCUUGAUAACGAGAUUGGCUCUUGAAUGAAUGAAGGCCGUAGAUCUAGUUUAGGGAUCUUAAAAAUCAAGGGUGGAGAUGUAGCCACCCUUUUACGAGCCUCCAUUCAAUUGUAUAAGAGAGGCUUGGUUUUCCAAGCCCUAGUUCUCUCCUCUUUUGGGUGAACGGCAGAGCCAUGCCAAAAUUUGGCCUAAAUCCUAAUCUUAAUUUUAUUUAGAUUUUAAUUCUCAUUUUGAACCUUGUGAUUGUAUAUGUAUGGAUUUUGCAUUGUGAAGGAUGGUCAUUAAGUUUUAAAAUAUGUUUCAUUGAGGUAGAUAUCUCCUCGGCCUUUCAAACACCCCAAGGGUUUCAAGGGCCUUGGAUUUUCUUCAAUCAGUCACUCAAUUUCUUUUUUCUCAAUGUAAGAUUCUGAAUAAUUGUAUCUUUUGCUGUUAGAUUUUUGACAAGAUGAGAUUCGCUUGAUUUGGAGUAAGAAGGAAUUUUUGGUGAAUUUUUGAGUUUGAGGGAGUCGACUGCCUUUGCAGUUUGAAUCAAUCGAGUUUGGAAAGGCAUUUCUCAGUGUUUGGAGAUUGUAUUUAUUUGAAAUUUUAGGAGCAUCAAGCUUUAUAAGCUAAGCUCUGAAAGGCAUAAGUUUUGGUGAAUUUCAAGACAAUCUGAAUUUUUAGUGAAUUUCUAAGUGAAGAGAGUUGGUCUCCACGGUAGUUUGGAUCUUUCAACUUCAAAGGAGGAAUUCUCACGACUGGAUCAUUAGAUUGCAAUGAAGAUUAUUGGAUCAAAAGCGUCUUCAAGUUGGCCUUGCAACAAGCUAAGAAUCAUUCAAAUUGAAGCCAAUUACAAAUUUUGGCAAAUUUAGGAGUAGAAAGGGCUUGCUGCCUUCAAUCCUUACGAGUUGUCAAGGUACCUUUGCUUUCACCUCUCUUACUUUAUUUUUACUAUCAUCUUCACAGUGACUUGUAUCUCUACAUUUCACUUUUUGGCUAAUAAAUUUUAAAUUUAACUUUUAACCUUUAAUAUUCCCACUUUAACUUUUAACUUUUAACUUUAACUUUUAAUUUUAACUUUUAAACUGAACUUUUAAUUUUAAUUUUUUUUAACCUUUAAUCUUAACUUUUAACUUAAUUUUUUUAAACUUAACCUUUUAGUUUUAACUUUUAACUUAACCUUUUAAUCUUAAUUUUUAACUUUAAUUUUUUUUAACUUAACUUUUAACUUAACUUUUAAUUCAAACUUAAGUUUUUAUUCUUAUGGUUAAUUAAUAGUAAUAAUUUAUUUAAUUAUUUUUACUAUGUUUGCAUAGUAAAUUUUAUUUAACAUGUUAAUUUAAUGUUAGUAACCAUUACUUAGAAGGCCUAAAACGAAUUGAAUUUUUAAUAUAAAGAUUUAAAUUAAUCUCAUAAUUACACAAUUGGGAGCUCUCCAAUUCAGCCUCUUGACUUGUUGUAUGGCAUAGGUUUCAUCAAGUGGUGAAAUUUGGCAUCACACAACCACAAGUUCCAAUUGUGGAUUUGCAUAGACAUCAAAUAUAGUACCUUGUUUGGCCACCAUCAUAAAUGUUCUAGCUUUGAUAAAUAAAUAUUAUUUAAGUUUUGGCUUGUCGUGUGCUAGAUGAUUUUUCAUAGAUCUAAGAAUUCCAUGAUCUAUUAGAAGAUAUUUUAACUUUUGUGAUACACAAUCUAUCCUUAGAUUGUAUUUUUCAAGCCAUGAGAGUCUUAAAAUGAUUGAAUUUGAUGGUGAUGUAAUGACAUUGAAUAUUACUUAGGAACUAUGGUUAUUCAAGGUUUGUUCUAAUAGAAUUGUUUCAUGAAUGACAUCUCUAAAGGAUAAAGAUCAACCAUCUAUUACUUCUAUAUGUACGACUUUGGAUUUUUUGACUUUACAAAUUUUGUGUGAUCUUAAAAAUUCUUUGUCAAUAAAACAUGUAGAGGCUUUCAAAUCAAGUAAUGCAUGACAAUCUAGUUUUAUGACUUGUUGUUCUUGUUGCGUUCAAGCUUCAAUAUACCAAAGCAAUUGAAUUAAUAGAGGUGGGUUCGAAUACGGGAAAAGACUGGUUAUAUGAAUUGGGGCUAUUAGUAUUACAAUUGACUGUACUCUGGCUAUUUGAAAUCAAUUAUCAAACUACAAAACACUAAGGCUUACUACUUCCAUCUUGAUUCAACACAUAAUCCAUCUACGAUUAUCAAUUCAAUAAUACUUCUCUUAAUCACAAUUCUUCAUAAGCAAAUAAUAAAAGCAAAGAAAACAAAGAGGUAGCACCAAGCUUACUCCGGCUUAUGACUCUCACAGUCUGGCUCUCGACUUAUGACUCUUACAGUCUAGCUCUCAACUUACGACUCUCAUAGUCUGGCUCUCGGCUUAUGACUCUCACAGUCUAGCUCUCGGCUUAUGACUCUCACAGUUGGCUCUCGGCUUACGACUCUCAUAGUCUAGCUCUCGACUUACGACUCUCACAGUCUGGCUCUCGACCUAUGAUUCUCACAGUUUGGCCUCGAUCUCUCUUUCCUCAACCUAUUUAUCCUACCAAAAAGAUGAUCUGUCAGCCAACGGAUUCCAAAAGUUAUGAUCCUUUGAAUUCUUAACCAUUUAUUCUACUAACUACCUACUAUUACCAACUAAAUUACCUAACCAUAAGUCUAAUUCUCAAGAUUAUCAAUAAUCAACCUGUAACUUAUCACAAAGUUUAUUUACCUAUUCUACAUGAUUCCUAACCAUACAUGUAUAAUAAAACAACAAGAAAGGCUCGUAGAGAGUACAGGACUUUUUUUGAUUUGUGAUAGUGAAGAAUCUACUUGCAUAGUCUAUAUUAAGGCCAGACGCCCUUAUUUUCUUACAACGCUUUUGAUGAUAUGGUUGCACUCCUCAUUUGAUAUGUACAUUGGCAUUUUUGUGAAUAAUUAUUUAUCUUAUGUCUAAGUUUUUUGCAAUACAAGCAUAGGCCAAGUUUUUUUUGAUGCUUUUUUUCGUACUCAGAAAGAGAUUUGAAGCGAACUCCAUCAAUCUACAUAUCUUUUACUUCCAAUUGCUUAUUAGAAUUUUGUAGUAAAGAAGCUACAAAAUAAUUGAUGUAUACAUGUUGCAUAAUUGAAGAACGUUUAUCUUGUCAUUGUUGAAAUAAAUAGUUAUUGCACUUCACAGCUUGAAUAAUGGCUUUAUUGAGUAUUAGAGGAUCUAGCAUAGAUAAUAAUAAGUCCUUGACAUUAUCUCUUAAUUCCCAAUGAAAUUGGUUCAUCAAUGAAUCUUCUCUCCAAUUUAUAUCACAUAUUAAUUAUCAAAAAUCUGAAGCAUACGUUGAUGUAGAGCGGAUUCUUUAUCAAAAGCUUUGAAUUUUAAUUAUUGAAGAACAAAUCUUAUCAUAUUUACCAAAUGCUUUCGCAAAUGCUACCAAUAAUGCUUCAAAAUUGUAUAAUAUAUAAGAAUUCUUUUCAAAUAAUGGAGCAAUCUAGGAUAAAGCUUGAUCUAAAAGUAAGGUUCCAACCAAACCAUUACAAGAAGCUUCAAUGAAAUAUCAUUGAAGUUGAAGCAAGGUGAUUAAUUGUACUUAAUUUACAAAGCCACAAAAUUUUGAGCGGGUGUCAUCGAACGUUUUUGGAAGGCUAAUCUUUAAUUCUUUUGUUGUUAUUGAUGUCAAAUCAUUGCCUUGAGUGGAUGCACCUCCCAUAUUUGAAGUAGACAUAGUUGUUUGAGAAUUUGAAACUUCAAUUGCGAUUUGAUGUGGUGGUUGAGGUACUCCAGCUCCUUGACCAUUAUGUAUGGUCAUAUAUAGUUCUUCAUUUUGCUUCAAAAAAUUCUCUAUUUUAAUCCUCAAUGCUUUAAGAGCAUUAAUAAUAAAAUCUAACUUGAUUUCUUUUAAGUCUGUCAUAUUGACUUUUCUACCUUCUACCAUUUAAAAUCAAAGAAAUACAUGCCUUCAAAAGAAAAAGAAAAUAAAAUUGAUCUAUGAUAUAAAAGAAAAGAAACCAAAAGAAUAUUAAGAAAAGAACAAUAUUAAUCUAAAGGAAGAUAAUCUGCAACCUCUAGAAUGCUAUAGUACUUCUAAAAAGAGAGAUAAUCCACUCUCUAUCAAAAAAGACUAAGCUCCUAAUAUUAUUUUAUGGUGGUCUCGACAAAUUAUUAGAAACCAUAUACAAGACAAGGAUUCUAGACCAAAGAAUAGAAUUAACUCGACAUUAAAACAAUAAUUAGAUAUAAGACAAGAAGUUUCUGGCUAGACCUACAAGAAGUGAAUUGUCAAGACUAAAGAUUCCCUUAGCCUCAACUCCUAUAUAUACUAAGUCCUAGGAAGCUUCUUGAGAAGUUUUUAUGAGGCUUAAAAACAAAGCAAGCCUAAGAUCCUUCUUUAGCAACUUCUUAAAUCAUCUAAAGCCUCCUAGAUCCUUCUAGGACCUCCUAUGACCUUCUAGGACCUCCUAUGACCUUUUAGAACUUUCUUAGAAUCUACUAAAACCUUCUAAAACCUUCUGAAACUUCCUAGAACCUUUAAGAGCCUUCUUAAAGCCUACUGGUACUUUUUGGAACCUUCUUCAAUUGUAUGUCCGUGACAAUUGGUGCUGAAGUAAACUCCUUCUUUAAAGCAUCAAAUGAUGUUUUUGCUUCUUUAUUCCACUCGAGUUUGUCUUUACAAGUCAAAAGUGUAAGUGGAAUUGCAACUUGAAAAUUUUUUUUGAUGAAGAUUUGGUAGUAAUUAGCAAAGCCUAAAAAGCAUUGCACAUCUUAUAUUGUUCUUAGAAUCUUCCAAUCUAUGAUAGUUUGGACCUUCUUAGAAUCCAUCAUAAGGCCUUUGUUGGAAAUGAUGUAUCCUAAAAAGUCAACUUGAGUAGUGUGGAAUAUACACUUUUUUAAUUUGGCAUAUAAUCUUGCAUCUCUAAGUUUCUAUAACACUUGACAAACAUGAAGUUCAUAUUUUUCUGAGUUUUUAGAAUAGAUUAGAAUGUCGUCCAAAUAACAAAUGAUAAAUUCAUCUAAAAAAUCAUGAAAAAUAUCAUUCAUAAGAUAUUAAAAAGCGGUUAGUGCAUUCAUGAGUCCAAUAGUUUAUAUUCAAAAUGUCCAUAUCUAAUUCAAAAAGCAGUCUUCCAUUCAUAUUCUUCUUUAAUACAAACUAAGUUAUAUGGUCCUCAUAGAUCUAUUUUGGUAUAGAUCUUUGUUUGAUUGAGUUGGUCAAGAAAUCAUGUAAUCAAAGGCAAAGGAUACCUAUUCUUGAUGGUGAUCUUAUUUAGUCCUCAAUAAUCCACAUACAUCCACAAAGAUCUAUCUUUCUUCUUCACAAAUAAGAUAGGAGACCCGACUGGGAACUGAGAAUGGCAUAAGAAGUUCUUUGCUAAGUUUUCAUCAAUAUACUCCUUUAAUGUAGCCAAUUCAUUCUACGAUAAGCUAUAGAUUGGUCUAAAUGGUGGUUGAGCUCUUUCUUGUAAAUCAAUUAAAGAAUCAUAAGAUCGAUGCUCUAGAAGAAUAUUUAUAUUCUUUUUUUAAAAAAUAUCUUAAAUUUUUUGAUAUUGGCUAGGAAUACCACUUGACGUCUUUUCACCAUUAGAAAUAGGCAUAGCAUAUAUAGCAAAAGAUGAUCCUUCUUUUGUAGCAUGCAUGAAAGCUCUCACACCUACCAGUAAAGGUUUGGAUGUACUAAACUUUUAUGCUUCUACUUCACUAGCUUGAUCUUAGAUUAUACUACUAGAAAAUUUAAGGUUACAAGAAAUCCAAUCUAUUUGAGGGUUAUAGUUUUUUAGCCACAAUAAUCCUAAAAUAAUCAAAUUAGAAAGAAAUCUUAUUACAUUAAAUACUAUUAUGUUGUUAUGAUCUUUAAUUAUUAUAUCUAAAGGAACAGUCUCAUGAGUAAUAUUUCUAGAAGACAACAAAUAACCAUCUAUGACUUCUAUAUGUACGGAUUUAGUUUUUUUGACUAAAAGAAUUUUUUGAUUUUUGACAAAAUCUUUGUCUAUAAAACAAGCUAAGGCUCCUGAAUCUAAUAAAGCAAAGACUUUGUGAUUUUUUGGUCUUAAACACAGAUCUAUUGUAAAACAAGGUGAGAGGUCUGAGGAGAGAAUAUGACCUUUACAAGGUAUUGCACAUGAUUCUAGCUGCACGGUCCCUAUUGUAGCUAAGAAAACUCGUUUUUUGACACAUUAUCUUCUCUGGUAAUUAUACUCCUCAUUUUAUAAUUGCAUUGCUUCUUUGGACAAUAUUUAGUAGUAUGUUUAGCUUUUCCACAAUAUAAACAUAAAUUCUCUUAGCGACGUUCAGUCUUUUCUUGUUUUGUAAGAGAUUUAAAAUAUAUCGUAUCAAUUUGUAUUGGUUUUAGCCUUGAUGAAUACGUUUCAAAAAACUUAGAAGUUGCCGCUAUUACUUGACUUGUUCCUCUUGAGCCAAGUCUUUGUUCUUGAUGCCUUUCAAAUAAUCAAUUAUUGCAUACAAUGGCUUGAGCAAUAAUUUUUUUUAAAGAUUUUACUUUUGGCAUUGUUAAUAACAAAUCUUUGAUACUGUCUUUCAAUCCAUAUCAAGAUUGAUUGAUAAGUGCUUUAUUAUUCCAGACCGCAUCUCAAUCUAGGUUUUAGAAUUUAGCAGCAUAUGUGGUGGUUGAUUGUGAUCCUUAUUGUAAAGAUAAGAGUUUGAUCUCUGCUACUCGUUUUCAAUCACUUUCUCUGAAUAUGGCCAUAAAUACUUCUAGGAUUGAAUUCAAAUCAUAAAGGAGUUGCAAAUCUUUUUCCAUUAAAGUUGCAAAUCAAGAGAGAGCACUUCCUAAUAGAAGUGUGUCUAUGAAUCCAACUUGAGUAAAUCCAUUAAGAUAUUGGAAAGGGUGCAAACUUAAAUAAAGCUUGAUUUGUUGCAAAAAUCCUCAAAAUUUUGAUCUUGUUCCAUCAAACUUUUCAUGCAUACUAAUCUUUGCUUCUAUCAUACUUAUAAAAUUAAAAUUCUCUGGAUUUGGUUGUAAGGUCAAUCUACUUGCUUCCUUCAAUUACACAACUUCUUACCAUAGACUCUGAAAUUCUUCCAUAGUUGUAGGCAUAGUACCUCCAUGAUUCAUGUUAGAAAUACGUGAAAUUUCUACUCUAAGAGUAUUAACAAGCUUAUGAAGAUCUGCAAUAGUUGCAAAUCUAUUCUCACUUCUACUAGGAUUAGCAUCCAUAAUCUUUCCUUCCAUAGGCAACUCAAACAAAUCCAAAAAAAUUAAAUUAUAGGAGGAUAACCCACAACCUCUAAUAAAAAUUUCUACAAAGAGGGAUAAUCCACUCUCUUUAAAGAAAGAUCAAUGUUAGAAAAUAAGAUUUUUUGUUUAAAAGGUGGAUAGUCUACAACCUUUAAAAUACAACAAUAGAAGUGGAGUAAUUCACUCACUUCUAAAAUAAGUCAAAAAUAAUAUAUUAGCACUCUUAUCAAACUAUCAAGGACAUGAUUCUCAAAGAAAGAGAAUCAUUGAUACACUUUUGUGUUACUAAAGAGAACUAAAAAGUCACUUCAAAUGUAAUAUAAUAUUAAUUAGAAUAGCCAUUGCCAAAAAUAAAAAGACUAAAAAAUCUUGAAACAAGACUAAGGACUAAAAUGACAUUAAUAAGAAUGAAGAAGGCUUCACACUUGCCUCUAUAUAUACUCUAAACUAAGAACUACAUAGCAAUAUCCUAUAGAACCUCCAAAACAUAUUGACUUUGUUAGCCACAUGUCUUAACUUAUAAGGCAAGUUAUCUAUGUAUGCACCACAUAGUUAUCUUGAUCUAUAAGCUAUUAUAUGGAGUAAACUUGUUCCAUAAGCUAUCAACACGUGGUUAACUUAUUGGCUAAGUUUCUAACCUACAAACACAUCUAAAAUCAAAACCGCAUCUAUGAAGCUUCUAAGAAGCUUUACUAAAAGACUUUAUGAAAUUAAUCUAUAUUUACCUACUUCUACCUAAUCAUAAAAGUAAUUAUUGAGGUAAAUGUAUACAUUUAUGACAUAGGGACAUACAAUUUAUAGUUGGACAUAUUUUAUGAUUCAUGUACAAUCUUCAAGUACUUCACAUGAUAGCAUCAAAAACAAAUAUUCAAAUAUCUGAAAAGAAUAAAGAUAUUUUAAAAUAUAUAUUUUAUUAAAGACAUAAAAGAAUUACUCACAUUUACAAAGAAAGAUUAAGUCAAUAAUGUAGACUUUCAAAAAUCAACAUCUGGUAUAUUAUACAAGUUGGAAUCAUCUCUAAUAGUUUGAUUAAAUAUGUUACAAUCUAUAAUUGUUUUUUUUAUUUAAUUGAAGUAAAAUAUUGUAUAUUCUUCAAAUCAACUAUAAACUUUACAUAUUAUAGAAGACUAUUAAAAAAGCUAUAAUUUGAACUAGAUAAAUCAACACAACUAUUAUUUAAUAAUAUGAGUUGUAUCAAAUUAGUAAGAAACCUCGUAAUGCAUCACUAUACCAAAUAUAUUAAAUUGGAUCAUUAUUACAUCUAAAAAAAAUAUCAAAAUAGAAGCAUUGAUAUAAAUUAUAUCUCACCUCAAGCAAAUCAAGUAGACAUUUUUUAUAAAAUCUUUAGAUCCAUUAAUUUUUAUUCAAAAUAGAGAACCAACCAAAUUCAAGAAGUUAUUGACUUAAAUGCAAAUCUUUGCAAUUGUACAAUCUUUUCCUCUAUAAACCAAACAAUGAUUGAGAAGUGCAAUUUUUUGUAAAGACAUAUAUGAAAGAAAGAUAGCAUCACUAAUUAAAUGCAUAUAAAUCUUUUUGCAUCUAGCUUAAUUCUAAAACUUUUGAAGGAUGCUUCUCAAAAUCCAUUUGCCUAUGCUUAAUAUCCAAGCCAAGAUGAAAAGACAUCAACUUAAAAUCCUCUCCAAACUACAUAAAACUUCGAGCCAAAACAUAAAGCUACUUAACAAAGAAAUCCAAAUUCUAAAAUAUUCCAUUAUGUGUUGUAUAAUUCCAACAUUCUAGUUUUUUUAAAAAACUUGAUUUCAAUUCCUUUUAUAACUCUCAUACAAGCUAGUGAAGCCAUCAGCUAUAACAACAAAGUUUGCAACAACAUAUUGGAUAAAUUGUAAUUAACAAGAAAAAUCACCCUUAAAAUAAAAUAAAAUAAAAUCAAUUAGAACUGAGAAUCACAUACAAAAAAUAAAAUAAAAUAAAAUCAAUUAGAGCUGAGCAUCACAUAUAAAAAAUAAUUAUUGCUAACAUCUAUAAAUUAAUACUAUUACAUGGCUAAAGAAACAACAUUCAUCAAGAUCAUCUCUUUUGCUAAUGCCUUUAAAUCUUUAAUUAUUACUUUAAAAACCACUUUGAAAUAAGACAUUUCAAAAUAAAAGAGCAUAGAUUGAAGAAAGGAUAUUGGCAUCAUCAACCUGUCUUGAUGUCAUUUUCCAUGCUUACCCUCAUCUUCUACUUUUAUCUUCAUAAAUUAUUAUAGAUGAAGUUAAUUAAAUUAUUAUAUACUAUUUAUAGCUUAGAAUUAACUUCUAUAUGUAAUGAUUUACUUUGAUGAUAAAUCACUCUCAUUUAUUAACAAUUCUUCAUGGAUACUAUAAUAAUAUAUUCCACAUGUAUUCAAAGAUAUCAAAUAAAAUACCUCCCACUUCACAAAUCCUACUCCAUUCUCAAGUUACAACAUCCAAUAGUUGAAUAUUAAAAAAAAUAGUAUUUAUACUAAGCAUAUUGGCAUUUAUACUUCAUUAGUGCAUUCAAAUCCCAAGAGCCUAGUUGUCUAGGAUUUUAGAUAUCAAUGCUUUCUUAGGCUUUUAAUCGAAUCUAUUUAAAAAUUUUCAUUCUCUUUUCUUAAAAAUAAAUAUAUUCAAAGCUUAGAAUAGAUAAAAGAUAUAUAUAAUCCAUUUAAAUAUUAGAAUCAUGGUUUCAAUUGUAGAAUGCAUAACUAAUAAGUUUUUUUUUUCAUACACUUACAAUAUAUAUACUAAGCAUCUUUAAAAAAAAAUGAGAAAUUACAUAUAUAUUUAAAAAAAAUAAUUAAAAUAAUGAAUUCAUUUUGCAACUAACUUCUAAAAAUUUUAAAAAUAUAAUAAGAAAAAAAUAAAUUCAAAAUAUAAAUAUACUAAUGGCAAUUAUGACUAUUUCCAAUACAAAAAUUUAUCAUUCAUUGUGGUUAUCGUUUUACUUAUUUCGGAAGAAACCUCCCAAAAUAAACCCGCAUAGGGGAAUUCGAACACAAGGAAAGUCCAUAUAUAUGAGCUCCAAUUAUUAGGGUCACACAAUUAACUGCUACGGCUGAAUGCUUACAAUAUCGAAGAACACUUAACUUUUUCUCCUACUGUCCACUCUCUCAUAUCAAUAUGGUAACAAUCACGACAUCAAUUUCAGUACCCUGUGUAAUUCACAAACACACAAACACAACCCAAACCCUAGAACAAACAACUUUCAAUCCAUAGAAUCUGAUCAAGACAAUUCCUUCAAUUACAAUUCCUCUCCACUGAACUUACAAUCUUGUGAUAAACAGUGAUUAGAAACUUUCAUAUAUCAUCAAUCUUUUACAACAAUUGAUAAACAGUGAUCCAUAAACAACUUUGUAAAUCAAACAUUGAUUCAUUAAAUCGAUUCUCUUCACUAGAAUCAACACUAAUACAAAAAAAAUAAGAAACUAAGAAGAAGAAAUAGCACCAAGCUUAUCUCCGGCUCAUCACUAUCGCAGUCUGGUAUUUUCUUCCCCUCUCCCAUCCUCCUUAUACUAUCCCGAGAUACCAAUUCCUAUACUACAGAUGAUAAUUACUUUUCCUCACUAUUCAUCCAUUCUACCUGUUGAACCAUCUUUUCAGUAGUUAUCUAUCCCUGUUUAUAUUAUGUACUAGAUAUCUACAUUCUGAAAAUAACUACUUAUUCUACAUAGCCCCACUCCUAACUGUGUAGUAUCCUCGCAAACACAGUAUUGAUAAAUAAAAACCAAUCUUUUUUUUUUUUUUGUUUUUUUUAUUUAUUUACUUUUUUUAACUAGAUUGUUCAAUCUCUUCGAUUUCUGGCGUUGGCUCCAUUUGGUCUUGUUCCAACACUAUAUCUUCUUCCUCCGACUUGUUCUCAAUCUCUGCCCUUAAUUAAGCUGUUAAAUCUUCAUUAUACGCUCCCAAUUCUCGAAUCUGAGCUUCCAAUUGGAGGAUUCUGGCAUCUUUAGCUUCCAAUUGUUAAUGCUGCUGUUGCAAUUUCUCUUCCGAUUUUCUAAUUCUUACUUCCGUUGAGACAAAUAUCUGUGACUGACUAAUAUUGACUAAAUCACUCUCCAAUUUUAUUAAUGUUUCUUUCAAAACAAAAUUUUUUACAUAUAACUCAUCCGUUUUGUUUCGAUAUUGGUCACCCAAUUAUUUCUUUUCAAGCUCUAAUACCUCCUUCUUCUCUCGUUGCAUCUUCAACUGAGCGUUCAUCUUCUCCUUUUCUAAUCUAUACGAUUUGCAAGUUUUUUGUAAUUCUUAUUUUUGAUUUUUCAGGAUAUGUUGAAUCCUCUGUUUUUCAUUUGAUCAGUUUUCCACUCUCUCAUCUAAUGCAUGCUUCACUCGCAUCUUGGAUUUCGAUUCUACCUUGAUGACUUGUUCAUGUUUCCUGAUUUUGUAAUUUUGCUCCAAUAUUAUUUUCUUGCUCACUUCCACUUACCUUUUUAAGCUACCCUCAUCUUCGAGCUUACUCAUCGUAAGUUGCAGUUGGAAAAUUUGACCCAAUAUAACUUCUUUAAGAUUCCACCCUUCCGUUAUAUCCCGUUGAAAUCCUAAUUAGUUGCUUUCUCUUAGAAUUGGUAUUGGUGUCGUCAUCUCUAUUGUCGGCCAAAUUGGAACUCGCUCUGGUGUAGAUAUUGGUCUUGCUUCCCAUUCUACUACUUUGUUUGAUUCUCCCACUUCAUACACCAUUAUCCCUGGACUAACUAUUCCCGUUUGUAAACUUGAAACUACUGGUUGAGAUUCCUAUUUUAAUGUAUACUCAAUCAUUGAGUUUACAUAAUUGGAACAUAAUAGUGAAGCAAACUUCCCCAUCUUUUUCUUAGCUUCCAUUUUUGCAUAUAUCCUUGUGGCCACAUAAGCUGUCCAAUUGAAUACCAUGCCUUCCAGUAUUCCUAUCGUGAAAAGUAGUAAUUACUUUGCCAUAUAGGUGAUAUGCCAAUUCAAUGCUAUUCGCUUCUGAACGAACCGCAUCCAUUACAUAAGUUCGGGCGUAAGUGCCUCUUGUACCUUUCAUCCUUGAUUUUGCUGAAGAGACGACAUCCCUCUUUUGAAGUAGCUUCCUGGCUUGAAAUCAUUUGAUGUGUCUCCUCCCACCUCAAGCUCUCCGAUUGAUAAAUGCAAGACCUUGUGUAAGAUAUUCUCAUCUAUCCCAAUCAGGACUCCUCUUAUCACUUUCAAAUCAUCCUUUGGAUCAUAAUUUUCUAUAUAUUUUGCAACUUGUUCUACAUCAAUUGGUGGUAGUUUAUCUGAUUCUCACAAAAACGUAAAUAACUGUGCAUUUCUAAAAUUUUUAUGCCUUUUCAAUGACCAACAGAUAUCUAACUUCAUCGGUUCCAUGUUGGUGAUAGCUACAAGAGACGACAAUCCCAGAUCGCACUUAAACCUCAUAUUGCGAUGAUUUUUUGAUCGUUCUGGUGCUCUCUUUGCUCUUUCCAUCGACAUUGUGAAAAUCAAACUCUCAAUACUUCCUUGUGCUAAUACUAUUGCUGAUUAUUAUCGUAAAGCUUACAGUUCAAAGCAUAAUGUCUGAAAUUUAUAAUAAUGAAACCUUCUAUAAGUGCCCUGCUCAUAAUUGCUUACUCGAGGUCAGAAUCAAGAACAUCUAAUCCAAUGUACCUUAUUCUCAUGUCUAAUCAAGAAUGACUAAUUUCCUGACUAGUCAGUUUCAGUAUCCAAAACUAACCAUCAAUCGUUUCCUAACUAUCACAACCUUUCCAAUCCUGUCGGUAAUCAUUAUUACGGAGACUCCCUCCCUCCACUAAGUAAACCUGUUCCGGUGUUAGGAACAAAGUCUUUAGAAUCUUCUAGAGACAAAUUUCUAGAAGCUUCUAGAAGCAAGUCUCUAUAACCUUCUAGAAGCUUCUUAGUUAGUAGAAGAUGUUAGGGACAUAGUCUUUAGAACCUUCUAGAGAUAAGUUUCUAGAACCUUCUAGAAGUAAGUCUCUGGAACCUUCUAGAAGCUUCCUAGUUAGUAGAAGUUGCUUGAGAAGCUUCCUAAAUAGGAGUAUAUAUUAGAAUCGAGGCUAAAGAGUUCUUCAGUUUUGAUAACAUAUCUCUUAGAGCUCUAGCUCACCUCUCUAGUGUUGUUCUCAUCUGAUUAAUCUAGUUCUUGUCAGUUCUUCUUGAACUUCUUGUUAGAUCUCGAGUCUGUAUUUUUGUGUCUAUGACAAUUUGUUGAGACUUCACUCACCUCAGAUAUCAGAGCUUAUUUCUUCCUCGUUAGAGUGUGGAUUACUCCUCUACUUGGAAGUGUACUAGCAUUUUAGAAGUUGUGGAUUAUCCUCCGCUAAAUUGAUACUUCAUUUGUUAUAAUAUUGGAGUCUUAUUCUUCUUAGAGAGAGUGGAUUACUCCUAUUUUUUAAGCUCUUAAAGCAUUUUAGAGGUUGCGGAGUACUCUCCUCUAAACCAUUAUUGUCUUCUUGUAGAGUCGUUUCUAUCUUUCUCUUAGAAUGGCCGGGGGCCAAGACAUUAAUAUGACGAAAAGUUUAGAGUCCAAGUUAGAUGCUAUCAUAAAUGUCCUCGCUACGUUAUCACAAAGAACUGCAGAGAUUGAAGGAGUCAUGGCAAGACUUCAUAAUGAUGCAGUAUCUAAGAUGGCACAAUCUAGGUUGCACCAGCCUCAAACUUCUGCACUUGGAGAAGCAACUUUGCCUCAAGUUCGGCAAGCACUAUUGGUUCUACAACAUAAGGAGCCCCGAGUUAGCCUUUCGGAUAAGUUUGAUGGUACGCAUUCCAAGUUUCGAGGAUUUGUCAAUCAAAUCAGGUUGAUAACAAUUUUAUAGCCCGAAUGCUAUCCAAUGGAGGAAUCACGUGUUGGGCUUGUUGGAACCUUACUUACAAGACAAGCUCUAUCAUGGUUUGCUCCUUUGUUUGAAAAACGAUCGUCCAUACUAAACAACUUUGAAACCUUUUUGGAAGCAUUUGCGGAAGCAUUUGGUGAACACGACAAGGUUCGAUGGACUACAACAAAGAUCCGGUCACUACAAUAAGGGAUGCACUCUACAUCAGUCUAUGCAUUAGAUUUCAGGCAAUUAGCAUGUGACAUCAAUUGGGACGAAGAAGCGUUGAUGAGUCAAUUCUAUUGAGAUUUAAAGGAUGAUGUGAAGGAUUUACUGUUAACUCUUCCUGAUCCGCAAACGCUCAACAAAGCUAUUAGCUAAGCUGUGAAGUACGAUAAUCACCUAUUUCAACGCCACCAAGACUAACGUUCAAGACAACAUAUGGUUCGCCACGCCCCAACUAUGUCGGCAAGCAGCGCAAAUUUACAUUCAGAUGUAGAAGACAUGUAAAUUGAUGUGGUAUGUGUCAAAUCCCUUACUCUAGAAGAAAAAAAGCAGCGUAUAGAGGAAGGUCUAUACUUGUAUUGCAGUAAAGAAGGCCACAAAGUUGGAGACUGCCCCAAGAAGCAAAAUCGAUGUAUUGUCAGGACUAGGGGUGCGUUUAUUCAGGAAAACGAGGAUGCCCAGCCACAACAAGAACUAUGUGGCUGGACAAUGAAAUAUCGCAACAACAACCAGGUUCCUUUCUUUCCGCUUAACCUGCCCUUUGCUUUACAAUCUCUUUAUUUAUUGGCCCUUAGAAACUGAGAAUCUUAGUAUUAUUAGAUUUAAGAGCAUCUGCUUGUUUUUUAGACGAAGAAUUUGCGAAGCGUCAUAAGAUCCCUUUAGUACAAAAAUCCAAACCUGUUCACAUUGAGGUCAUAGAUGGGCGACCUUUAUUAUGUGGUAGUGUCAUCCAUGAAUCAGAACCUAUAGAAGUGAUGUUUAAGGGCCAUAGUAGUCAUAUUAUUUUUAAUAUUAUUAGAAUCCCAUCAAAUCCUAUUAUUCUUGGUCUUUCUUGGUUAAAAAAGCAUAACCCAUCUAUAGAUUGGAGGUUGUGGAAGAUGACCUUUUCCACAAAACCACCUAAGAGCAAGCCUAGUAGAAAACCCUAAAUAGAGAAAUCCUUAUUCAUUGGAGCAAGAGCGUUUAUAAGAUCGUCCAAAGAAGGCACAUUGUAUGUCAUUUAUGCGACUCUAACUACUGCGGAGAAGAUCUCGAUAGUAAGUAUACCAAAGCAAUAUAAGGAUUUUAAAGACGUAUUUCAAAAGAAGAAUGCCGACAUGCUACCGAAACACCGACCAUAUGAUUGUGCCAUAGACUUGCAGGAAGAAGCACAACCACCUUUUGGUCCAAUCUACAAUCUAUCGCAGAUAGAGUUGGCGGAGUUGCAGAAGUACAUCGACGAGAGUCUAACCAAGAACUUCAUUCAUCAUUCAAAAUCGUUAGUUGGAGCACCCAUCUUAUUUGUGAAGAAGAAAGAUGGCUUGUUGCGGAUGUGCGUGGACUAUCGAGGCCUCAACAAGGUAACAAAGAAGAAUCGUUACCUGUUACCCUUGAUUUCUGGUCUCUUAGAAUAACUUGGACAUGCAAGGAUCUUUACAAAAAUUGAUCUAAGGGGAGCUUACAACCUCAUACGAAUCAAGGAAGGAGAUGAGUGGAAGACAGCGUUCUGUACAAGGUAUGGCCAUUUUGAGUAUAAUGUCAUGCCCUUUUGUCUUAUCAAUGCUCAAGCAGUCUUUCAACAUAUGAUGAAUGACAUUUUUCGAGAGCAUCUUGACGAUUUUAUUGUCAUCUAUUUAGAUGAUAUUUUGAUAUUCUCCAAAAACGAGGAAGAGCAUGAAAAGCACGUUCAUUUGGUCUUGGAGAAACUACGCGAGCGAGGACUAUAUGCCAAGUUGGAGAAGUAUUUAUUUUACCAAAUGGAGAUGGAGUUUUUGGGCUUCGUUGUGACUACAAAAGGCUUGAAGAUGGACCUCAAGAAGGUAGAAGCAAUCGUGUCCUGGGAGGUUCUAAAGAUGGUUAGAGACGUACAAUGCUUUCUUGAUUUUGCCAACUUCUAUUGGAUCUUCAUCAAAAAUUAUUCUCAAGUUGCUGCUCCUCUGACUCGGUUGACAUGCAAGGAUAAGCUAGAAUGGAGACUUCUAGCGGAGAAGGCGUUUCAAGCCCUGAAGACUGCAUUUACUAUGGCUCCAAUUUUGGUACAUCCAGACUUUACAAAGUCCUUUUAUUUAGAAAUUGAUACUUCGGAUUUUGCUUUAGGAGCUGUACUUUCACAAAUGGGAGAAGACAAGAAGCUCCAUCUGAUUGCAUUCUAUUCUCGAAAGAUCUCUGCUGCUGAAAUCAAUUAUGAGAUCCAUGAUAAGAAACUUCUUGCUAUAGUGGAUUCUUUCCAAGAAUGGCAUCACUUUCUUGAAGGAGCUGUACACCCAGUGAUCGUAUAUACAGAUCACAAGAAUUUGGAGUAUUUCAUGUCGGCUCGAGUUCUAAAUUGACGUUAAGCUCGAUAGAGUAUGUCGCUAUCUGGGUUCGAUUUUGUUAUCACUUAUUGACCUGAAAAGCAGCAAGGACUAUCUGAUGCCUUAUCGAGGAGAUCGUAUCUUGUAUCAAAGGCUAGAGAAGUAGCGUUUGAUCAACAAUGUACGACGUUAUUGAAGCCAGAGCAAUUUCGGCUUUGUGCUACUAUUGUGCCAAUUGAUGCUGACUUCCUGAAUCAGGUACAUGCCGUAACCAUUGAAGAUUCAGUAGCCAUUGAUAUCAAGCAGCGUGCCAAUGACGACAAGUUCAAGGUGGAGGGAGAUCCUUUAUACUUUGAGGAGUGGUUGUAUAUUCCAAAAAGACCAGUAUGACUCCGAGUUCUUUAAUCUCGCCAUGAUUUUCCAGCUGCGGGAUAUUUUGGAUUCAACAAGACCUUAGAACUUAUUUCUCAAGAUUUUUGGUGGCCCCAAAUGUGGAAGGAUGUGAAAGAUUUUGUCCUCUCCUACGACAUCUGUUCAAGAUCCAAGAAUCCUCGGCAUCACCUUUAUGGAUUCCUACAGCCAUUGCCGAUUCUACAUCGACCAUGGUCUUCAGUUUCCAUGGACUUUAUCAUGGACCUGCCAUCAUCGAACUCAUUUGACAGCAUCUAUGUUGUGGUAGAUCGGCUUACAAAGAUGGCGCACUUUGUCCUUUGCAAAAAGACAUCAUCCAGUGAAGUCACAACAAGGCUCUUUCUGGAUAAUGUGUAUCGAUAUCAUGGACUACCAGAUGAUAUUGUAUCAGAUCGAGGAACCCAGUUCGUAUCAAAGUUUUGGAGAUCUCUCUUUGAGAUACUGAAGGUGGAUAUCAAGCUUUCUUCGGCUUUUCAUCCUCAAACUGACGGCCAAAUGGAACGGUGUCAUGUUAUAACACGUCUAUAUGAUGAAAAUAUAAAUGAAGAAGACUUAUUAAUAUUUAGUCACCUUGGGUGUUAAAAGCGGUGGCCAAUUCCAGUGCAAAUACUGAGAGGCUAGGUUCAGUCACCCCAUUAGUUAGCCAAGGCAUACUCACCAGUAACGGAAUGCUCCGUUCGAUUCCAAUAACGAGAGUCAGCAGAAAGAAAAAGGACCAAUUCAACGACGGGUGAGCCUAGUUUGAAGAGCCAAUUGGAUCCAAUUUCAGAAGACCUCGAAUCCAGAUCCUAUUACGGGCCUCUUAUCCAAUAUGAGACCUGAUUUGGUCGGGCAACCCAAUGUGGUCCGAUUACGGGCUUUGAUUUUGUUUCAGGUUGUUCUGAUUCUUUAUACCGUUCGGAGAACAUCCUUUUGGUAAAAAGAUCUCUUAAAGGUGAAAAUGGGGAGGAGAAAGCUCCGUCAGCUGUUCCAAUUCGAGAAAUCCAAGGCGGAAGAAUAGAAUCUUCUCAGGGUUAAAGGGGAGGAUAGGUUAAGAAAUGAGGAGGGGAGAAUCAAGGUUUUAAGGAUCGGAGAGCUAGCUUCACACUCGAAAAGACAGAGAAUUGGGGGUUUUUUUAUUUUUUCUUCAUAGGAUUUUGGGAAGAUUGAGGCAAUCGUUGCUGAAAGUUAGUGAUAUAUUGGUGAACUGGAUUUUCCGUAAGAGAGAAAAAGGCUAGUACUCUUGAUUGUUGUUGGAAUGGGGGAUACUUCUAUGGUUGAAAUUCAGAGUUGUCUAGAAGGUUGAGUAUGUUGAAUGCAUGCAUGGUUGUAUUAAUCUGAUUGUACGGAUAGAAGAUAUCUGCCAACAGUUUAAAGAGGUUUUGGGAGUUGAAAAAUUGGAGUUUGUUUAGGAUUUCUAUAAUAACUGGGGACCUAUCAACAAGGAUAAGAGGAAUAUCGACGAGCAGCCGAGGAACAUCGGUGCGGAUUGCAGCAUAGCCUCACAAUCUGUAAGCAGGGUUGAACCGAAACUUCUUGAGCAUUUGAAAGGGCUUGCAGAGACACUAGCGAUAGAUGUUUCACAACAAGUCGGAAGGGCAGAUUGAGGAUCACAGCUUGCCGAAGUUCACAGUCUAGGAUUAAGGUAAUUAACGAUAAAGAUAAAAUAAAAAACAUAAAAUAAAUAAAAUAAAAUAAAAAUAACAAAAGAGAUUGAAGUUAUAUAGGGUCUCUAGGCAUUUUUUAUUGGAAUUAAGCUUUUACAUUACAAUCUGAUAUAGAUUGUAUUUGGGUAGUCAAGAACCCGAUAGACUGCUUGAGUACUAGCGAAAUACCAUACUACCUCCUACAGCCAGACACCUGACACAUUCUCAAGCAAGUUAGCACGUAAUAUGACAACGGGUGAACCAAGUCUUGGAACAAUACUUAUGAUGCAGCAUCAACUAUCAACAAGAUGAUUAGACCGCAUAUCUAUCGCUAGCCAAGUUUGCAUGUAACAACACCCUCCAUGCGUCGACUCAAUACACACCAUUCUUUUUCAACUAUGGAUAUCAUUCGAAGCUUGAUUUAUUGAGUCCGUCAACAAAUAACAAUCCAACAGUUGAAGGAUUUGCGAAACAACUAUCAGAGCUUCAAAAUACAUUGAAGCUUCAAUUACAAUCCGCUCAAGAAUCCUACAAGGCGUCUACAAAUAGAUUUCAAAAUCAAGCACCUACUUUCAAAAUUGGAGAUAAAGCAUGGCUUCUUCGAUGGAAUAUCAAGACCAAGCAACCAUGUGAUAAGUUGGACUAUCGAAGAUUGGGACCAUUUAUCAUCCAGAAGCAAAUCAAUCCAGUGGCAUACCGUCUGGAAUUACCGGUUUCUAUGAAGGUACAUCUAGUCUUUCAUGUUUCUCUGUUGCAGCCUUAUUGAGAGUCGUCUUUUCUUGGAAGAGUACAAUGUCCGCCACCUAGUAUUGAGAUCGAGAACCAUGAGGAAUACAAGGUUGAAAAGGUGCUGGAUUCACGGCAAAGGUGGGGCAAAUUGGAGUAUCUUGUUCAUUGGAGCGGCUAUGACAUUAAUGAGUGAACGUGGAAGCCAGCUGAAAAUCUUGCCAAUGCGUCACAAAAGAUACAGGAAUUUUAUCAACAACAUCCUCAUAAAUCUAAGCCGGUUCAAUGAUAGCUUCCUUCUAAAGCUUGCUCACCCAAGAAUAUAAGAAAGGAAGAAAGCAUCACCAAAAUUUGCAGUUGAUGUAGUUAUUUUCUCCAAGAUAAAGUAGAAUUUUUUCAGUAGCCAUAGUUUGGUCUUCUGAUAUGAAUAGCCAAGAGAUAGAUACUAUGCCAAUCAGAUUAUCUCAACCAACUAGCUCACGAAGGCGACCCCAAGAUGAAGAACCGCCUACACCACGACGACGACGGAGGAUACCGAGUAAUCAAUCACUGGUGAUUAUAUUUGAGUUCGAGCCUGCUUAUGAUGGUCAGCCAGAAGGAGUGUUUGCAGGACAAUUUCACAAUGAGGACACGGAAGUUCAUGCUUGGUCAGAAGUUGAAGGAGUGGGCCACUACCUUUGACUUCAAGAGCCGAUGAACCACUUGCCUCAUGAACAACAGUUAGAAUUCAUAGCAGACGUUAUGCGAUAGAUCUUCAUUUUCUUGCAUUGGUAUUUAUUAACAACAACAUUGCUUCUCAGAGACCUUGAAGCUAAAGGAGGGGGUGAUAUUAGGGACAUAGUCCUUAGAAACUUCUAGAGACAAGUUUCUAGAACCUUCUAGAAGCAAGUCUCUAUAAUCUUCUAGAAGCUUCUUAGUUGGUAGAAGAUGUUAGGGACAUAGUCCUUAGAACCUUCUAGAGAUAAGUUUCUAGAACCUUCUAGAAGCAAGUCUCUGAAACCUUCUAGAAGCUUCCUAGUUGGUAGAAGUUGCUUGAGGAGCUUCUUAAAUAGGAGUAUAUAUUGGAAUCAAGGCUGAAGAGUUCUUCAGUCUCGACAACACAUCUCUUGGAGCUCUAGCUCACCUCUCUGGUGUUAGGGACAUAUUCCUUAGAACUUUCUAGAGAAAAGUUUCUAGAACCUUCUAGAAAAUAAGCCUCUGGAACCUUCUAGAAGAGAAGUUUCUAGAAGCUUCUAGAAAGGAAUCCCUUGGAACUUUCUAGAAGCUUCCUAAUUAAUAGAAGUAGCUCGAGAAGUUUCUAGAACCUUUUAGAAAGGAAGCCUCUGGAACCUUCUAGAAGCUUCCUAGUUAAUAGAAGUAGCUCGAGAAGCUUCCUAAGUAGGAGUAUAUAUAGGAAUCGAGGAUGAAGAGUUCUUCAGUCUCGACAACACAUCUCUUGGAGUUCUAGCUCACCUUUCUGGUGUUGUUCUUGUAUUCAUCUGUUUAAUCUAGUUCUGCCACUUCUUCUUAAACUUCUUGUUAGAUUUCAAGUCUGUAUUUUGUGUCCAUGAUAGUUUGUCGAGACUACACUAACUUGAGAUAUCAGAGCUAGUUCUUUCUUAGUAGAGUGUGGAUUACCCCUCUACUUGAAGGUAUACUAGCAUUUUUUAGAGGUUGCGGAUUACCCUCCUCUAAACUGAUACUUCUUCUGUUACAAUAUUGGAGUCUUAUUCUUCUUGGAGAGAGUGGAUUACCCCUCUUCUUGAAAUUCUUAAGACGUUUUAUAGGUUGUGGAUUACCCUCCUAUAAACCAAUAUUGCCUCUUAUAGGGUCAUUUUUGUCCUUCUUUUAGAAUGGCCGGAGGUCAAGACAUUAGUAUGACAAAAAGUUCGGAGUCUAAGUUAGAUGCUAUUAUGAAUGCCCUCGCUACGUUAUCACAAAGAACUGCAGAGAUUGAAGGAAUGGUGGCAAGGCUUCAUAGUGAUGGAGUAUCUGGGAUAGCACAAUCUAAACUACACCAGCCUCAAAUUUUGGCACUUGGAGAAACAACUUUACCUCAGGUUUGACAAGAACCACUAGUUCUAUAACAUAAGGAGCCUCGAGUUAGCCUUCCAGAUAAGUUUGAUGGAAUACGUUCCAAGUUUCGAGGAUUCGUCAAUCAAAUCAGUUUGAUAACAGUUUUACAGUCCAAACGAUAUCUAACAGAGGAGUCACGUGUUGGGCUUGUUGGAACCUUACUUACGGGACAAGCUCUAUCAUGGUUUGCUCCUUUGUUUGAGAAACGAUCAUCCAUAUUAAACAACUUCGAAACCUUUUUGGAAGCAUUUGCGGAAGCAUUUGGUGAACAUGAUAAGGUUCGAUGGGCUACAACAAAGAUCCGGUCGCUACGACAAGGGAUGCGUUCUACAUCAAUCUAUGCUUCGGAUUUCAGGCAAUUAGUAUGCGACAUCAAUUGAGAUGAAGAAGCGUUGAUGAGUCAAUUCUAUUGGGGUUUAAGAGAUGAUGUGAAGGAUUUGCUGUUAACUCUUCCUGAUCCACGAACGCUCAAUGAAGCCAUUAGCCAAGCUGUGAAGUGCGAUAAUCACCUAUUCCAACGUCGCCAAGACCAACGCUCAAGACAACAUACAAUUUGCCAUGCUCCAACUAUGUCGGCAAGCGAUGUGAAUUCGGAUUCAGAGGUGGAAGACAUGCAAAUUGAUGCGGUACGUAUCAAAUCUCUUACUAUAGAAGAAAAAAAGCGACGUAUGGAGGAAAAUUUAUGCUUGUAUUGUGGUGGAGAAGGCCACAAAGUCAAAAACUGCCCCAAAAAGUAAAAUCGAGGCAUAGUCAAGACUAGGGGAGUAUUUGUUCAGGAAAACGAGGAUGUCCAGCCACAGUAGGAACCGUGCGGCUGGACAAUGAAAUAUCCCAACAACAAUCAGGUUCCUUUCUUUCUACCCAACCUGCACUUUGUUUUACAAUCCCUCUGUUUAUCGGCCCUCAAAAACUGAGAACCUUAGCACUACUAGACUUAGGAGCAUCUGCUUAUUUUUUAGACGGAGAAUUUGCAAAGCGUCAUAAGAUCCCUUUAGUACAAAAAUCAAAACCUGUUCAUGUUGAGGUCAUAGAUGGGCGACCUUUAUUGUCUAGUAGCAUCACCCAUGAAUCAAAACCUAUAGAAGUAACGUUUAAAGACUAUAGUAGUCAUAUUAUUUUUAAUAUUAUUAGAACCCCAUCAAAUCCUAAUUUUCUUGGUCUUUCUUGGUUGAAAAAAUAUAAUCCAUUGAUAGAUUGGAGGUUGCGGAAGAUGACUUUUCCCACAAAACCACCCAAGAAAAAACCUAGUAAAAAACCUCGAAAAAAGAAAUCCUUAUUCAUUGGAGCAAGAGCGUUUAUAAGAUCAUCUAAGGAAGGCACUCCAUUUGUCAUUUAUGCGGCUCCAACUACCGAGGAGAAGAUCUCAACAGCAAGUAUACCGAAGCAAUAUAAAGAUUUUGAAGACAUGUUUCAAAAAAAGAACGCCGACAUACUACCGGAACACCGACCAUAUGAUUGUACCAUAGACUUGCAAGGAGCACAACCACCUUUUGGUCCAAUCUACAAUCUAUCGCAAACGGAGUUGGUAGAGUUACGAAAGUACAUCGACAAAAAUCUAGCCAAGAACUUCAUUCGUCAUUCAAAAUCAUCAGCUGGAGCACCCAUCUUAUUUGUGAAGAAAAAAGAUGGAUCAUUACGGAUGUGUGUGGACUAUCGAGGCUUCAACAAGGUAACAAAGAAAAAUCAUUACCCAUUACCCUUGAUUUCUAGUCUCUUAGAACAACUUGGACGUGCGAAGAUCUUUACAAAAAUUGAUCUAAGGGGAGCUUAUAAUCUCAUACGAAUCAAGGAAGGAGAUGAGUGGAAGACAACAUUCCGUACAAGGUAUGGUCAUUUCGAAUAUAAUGUCAUGCCUUUUGGUCUUACCAAUGCUCCAGCGGUUUUCUAACAUAUGAUGAAUGACAUCUUUCGAGAACACCUCGACGAUUUUGUUGUCAUCUACUUGGACGAUAUUCUAAUAUUCUCUAAAAACAAGGAAGAGCAUGAGGAGCAUGUUCGUUUGGUCUUGGAGAAACUACACAAGCGAGGACUAUAUGCCAAAUUAGAAAAGUGUUUAUUUCACCAGACGGAGAUGGAAUUUUUGGGGUUCAUUGCGACUACAGAAGGUUUGAAGAUGGACCCCAAGAAAGUAGAGGCAAUCAUGUCUUGGGAGGUUCCGAAGACUGUUAGAGACGUACAAUGCUUUCUUGGUUUUGCUAACUUCUAUCGGAUCUUCAUCAAGAAUUAUUCUCAAGUUGCUGCUCCUCUCACUCGAUUAACAUGCAAGGAUAAGUUGGAAUGGGGACCUUUGGCGGAGAAGGCGUUUCAAGAUUUGAAGAUAGCAUUUACUAUGGCUCCAAUUUUGGUACAUCCAGACUUUACAAAGGCCUUCUAUUUAGAAACUGAUGCUUCAGAUUUUACUUUGGGAGCUGUGCUUUCACAAAUGAGUGAAGAUAAGAAGCUCCAUCCAGUUGCAUUCUAUUCUCAGAAGUUCUCUGCUGCUGAAAUCAAUUAUGAGAUCCAAGAUAAGGAACUUCUUGCUAUAGUGGAUUCUUUCGAAGAAUGGUGUCACUUUCUUGAAGGAGCUGCACAUCCAGUAACCGUAUAUAUGGAUCACAAGAAUUUAGAGUAUUUCAUGACGGCUCGAGUUUUAAAUCGACGUCAAGCUCGGUGGAAUAUGUCGCUAUCUAGAUUCGAUUUUGUUAUCACUUAUCGACCAAGAAGGCAGCAAGGACUAUCUGAUGCUUUAUCAAGGAGAUCGUAUCUUGCGCCAAAGGCUAGAGAAGCAGCGUUUGAUCAACAAUGUACAACGUUAUUGAAGCCAGAGAGAUUUCAACUUUGUGCUACUAUUGUAUCAUUUGAUGCUGACUUCCUAAACCAGGUACGUGCUAUGACCAUUAAAGAUUCAGUAGCCAUUGAUAUCAAGCAAUGUACCAAUGACGACAAGUUCAAGGUGGAGGGAGAUCUUUUAUACUUUGAAGAGCGAUUGUACAUUCCAAAAGGACUAGCACGACUCCAAGUUCUUCAAUCUCGCCAUGAUUUUCCAGCUGCGGGACAUUUUGGAUUCAACAAGACCUUGGAGCUUAUUUCUCGAGAUUUUUGGUGGCCCCAAAUGUGGAAGGAUGUGAAAGAUUUUUUCCUCUCUUGUGACAUUUGUUCAAGAUCUAAGAAUCCUCGGCAUCGCCCUUAUGGACUUCUACAGCCAUUGCCAAUUCCACGUCGACCAUGGUCUUCAAUUUCUAUGGACUUCAUCACGGACUUGCCAUCAUCAAACUCAUUUGACAGCAUCUUUGUCAUGGUAGAUCGGCUUACGAAGAUGGCACACUUUGUUCCUUAUAAGAAGACAUCGUCCAGUGAAGUCACAACAAGACUCUUUCUCGAUAAUGUGUAUCGAUAUCAUGGACUACCAGAUGAUAUCAUAUCAGAUCGAGGUAUCCAGUUCGUGUCAAAGUUUUGGAGAUCUCUCUUUGGGAUAUUGAAGGUGGAUAUCAAGCUUUCUUCAGCUUUUCAUCCUCAAACUGAUGGCCAAACGGAACGGGUGAACCAAGUCUUGGAGCAGUACUUACGAUGCAGCAUCAACUAUCAGUAAGACGAUUGGACGGCAUAUCUACCGCUAGCCGAGUUUGCAUAUAACAACACCCUCCAUGCGUCGACUCAACAAACACCAUUCUUUUCCAACUAUGGGUAUCAUCCGAAGCUUGAUUUAUUGAGUCCGUCAACAAAUAACAAUCCAGUAGCUGAAGGAUUUGCGAAGCAACUAUCAGAGCUUCAAACUAUGUUGAAGCUUCAAUUACAAUCCGCUCAAGAAUCCUAUAAGACGUCUGCAGAUAGAUUUCGGAAUCCAGCACCUACUUUCAAAGUUGGAGACAAAGCCUGGCUUCUUCGACAAAAUAUCAAGACCAAGCGACCAUGUGAUAAGUUGGACUAUCGAAGAUUGGGACCAUUUAUCAUCCAGAAGCAAAUUAAUCCAGUGGCAUACCGGCUAGAGUUACCGGCUUCUAUGAAGGUACAUCCAGUCUUUCAUGUUUCUCUGUUGGAACCUUAUCGAGAGUCAUCUUUUCCUGGAAGAGUGCAAUGUCCGCCACCUAGUAUUGAAAUCGAGAACCACGAAGAAUACGAGGUUGAAAAGGUAUUGGAUUCACGGCGAAGGUGGAAAAAGUUAGAAUAUCUUGUUCAUUGGUGUGGCUAUGACAUUAAUGAGCGAACGUGGGAGCCAGCUAAAAAUCUUGCGAAUGCGCCACAAAAGGUACAAGAGUUUCAUGAACGACAUCCCGAUAAACCUAAAUCAAUUUGAUGAUAGCUUCUUUUUGAAGCUUAAUCUCUCAACAAUAUAAGAAAAGGGGAGAGCACCAGCAAAAUUCAUAGUUGAUGUAGUUAUUUUCUCCAAGAUAGAUCGUAGUUUGGUCUUUUGAUAUGGAUAGCCAAGAGAUAGAUACUAUGCCAGUCAGAGUAUCGCAAUCGAGUAGCUCAUGAAGGCGACCCCGAGAUGAAGAACUACAUGUACCACGACGACGACGGAGGAUACCGAGUAACCGAUCACUGGUGAUCGUAUUUGAGAUCGAGCCUGCUUACGAUGGUCAACCAGAAGGCGUGUUUGCAGGAUUAUUUCACAAUGAAGACAUGGAAGUUCAUGCUUGGUCAGAAGUCGAAGGCGUGGGCCACUACCGUUGGCUUCAAGGAUCGAUGAACCACUUGUCUCGUGAACAACAGUUGGAGUUCAUAGUAGAAGUUAUGCGACAGAUCUUCAUUUUCUUGCGUUGGUACUGAUCAACAACAUUGCUUCUCAGAGACCUUGAAGCUAAAGGAGGGGGUGAUGUUAGAGACAUAUUCCUUAGAACUUUCUAGAGAGAAGUUUCUAGAACCUUCUAGAAAAUAAGCCUCUGGAACCUUCUAGAAGAGAAGUUUUUAGAAGCUUCUAGAAAGGAAUCCCCUGGAACUUUUUAGAAGCUUCCUAGUUAAUAGAAGUAGUUCGAGAAGUUUCCAGAACCUUCUAGAAAGGAAGCCUCUGGAACCUUCUAGAGCUUUCUAGUUAAUAGAAGUAGCUCGAGAAGCUUCCUAAGUAGGAGUAUAUAUAGGGAUCGAGGAUGAAGAGUUCUUCAGUCUCAACAACACAUCUCUUGGAGUUCUAGCUCACCUUUCUGGUGUUGUUCUUGUACUCAUCUGUUUAAUCUAAUUCUGCCACUUCUUCUUGAACUUCUUGUUAGAUUUCAGGUCUGUAUUUUGUGUCCGUGACAUCUGGUGUUGUUCUUAUCUGAUUAAUCUAGUUCUUGUCAGUUCUUCUUGAACUUCUUGUUAGAUCUCGAGUCUAUAUUUGUGUAUCCAUGACAUCCAGAUUUACGUCUAAUACAGAUGUAACCGAUUCUCAUUAAUGCGCGUUGUGAAUUGAGUUUCCAAAAAAUCUUCCAAUUGAACGAAACCAUUAAGAAAACCUGCCACCACCCGAUAUGGCCCAUGCCAUCGUACUUGAAAUUUACCAAAAAAGUUGUUAAAGUGGCUAUCAUAAAGGAACACCAGAUCAUUGGGCAUAAAAUAUUUCGGCCAUAACUUACUAUCAUAAUAACUCUUUCUACAAUGCUGUGUAACUUCCAUGAUCAAGAAAGCCAUAGCACUAGCUUCAUCUAAUUUCUCCAAUUGGACUAACCUAUAUUGAAGAGAUUCUCUGUCUCCCAGACAUUCAUCCACACAAUUCGUAAACUUUGGACUUCCAAUUCAAUUGGUAGAAUUAUCUCUUGAUCAUAUAUCAAUUGAAAUAGAGUUACUUUCAUAGUAGUUACUUUAUACGUAGUACGGUAUGCACAUAAAGCUGCAAACAAUUUAGUGUCCUAAUUGAUUCCCGCUCUUAAAAUAGUCUUUGUAAAAAUCUUACAUAGGAUACCAUUUGUCUUUUCGAUAUGCCCAUUGGCUAGUGGAUGAUAAGGUGUAGUUUUGCGGUACUUGAUCUCAUACUUCGCUGUUAAUGCUUCAAUUGUGGCAUUAAUAAAAUUUUUGCCACGAUCAUUAACCAAUUCUUUCAGACAGCCAAAACGAGUGAUAAUGUUCUCGUAUAAAAAUAUUACUAUGGUAUAAGUAAUAUCAAUUUUUGUUUCCAUGGCCUCCGCCCAUUUGGAGACAUAAUCAAUGGCUACUAGAAUAUAAUAUUUAUGUCCAUUUUGAGAGGAAGGUGGAAUUGGUCCAACAAAGUCAAUACCCCAUUUUUCGAAUGGUGCCUGUGCCAAAAUUGGUACCAAUGGCAUUCCAAAAGUUCCAAUAGGGUGACCAAUUCGUUGACAAGGCUCACAACGAUGAACAUAUUGGUGUGCAUCUAAAAACAUUGUUGGCCACCAAUAUCCAGCCAUUAAAGCCUUACCUGGUGAUAAACGUAGAUAAUCUUGAAAUGCUUGUAACAUUAUCCGUUGAAAAGUAACUGGGGCAUUACAUAAUCCAAAUGGCAUUACUUUAUAGGCAAAUGUGUCCCAAUCUGUAGUAAAUGUAAUCUUCAAUUCGUCUUCUUCGGCAAUUUUAAUUUGAUUAUAUCCCAAAAAUCCAUCCAAAAAUGAGUAACAUUCAUGUCCGACCACUACGUCCAAAAUAUUAUCUGUAAAUGGUAACGAAAAAUAAUCCUUCUUAGUAGCUAUAUUUAACUUUCAAAAAUCUUGACAUAUCUUGACUUUUCCAUUCUUCUUCAGUACCAUCACAAUUGACGACAUCCAUAAACUAUGCGAAACAGGAUAAAUAAAAUCCACGUCGAGAAGUUUAUCCAAUUCCUCUUUCACUAAAAGUGAAUAUAUUGGAUUAAGUCGGUGUUGUCUUUGACGAACUAGCAUAACACCCUCCUCUAAAAUAAUGUGGUGUUGACACACGUCGACUGAAAUCUUUUUCAAAUUCGCAUACGACCACGCAAAGGUAGAUUUGUGAUGGACAAAAAAAUGUUUCCAAGUAUCUAAUUUUGUACCUAUAAUACUGGCAUAUAUUUUAAUUAGCUGUGGCAUUUCGUUGGUGCCCAGGUUAAUGGAUUGAUACAUAGGAUCUUCAACAACCUCUGAUUUAAUUGUCUUCUCCUGAUCUGAAUAUCUUGUAUUAUUCGACAUAUGAGAACCACCCAAAUUUGGUUCCAAUGUGCUGACUCUAUUGACUGCGAGAUUGUUCAUCUAUUCGACAAUAGCAUGAUCCAAGUUAGUCGCAUCUUCCUGAUGCAGUAAAUAUUCACCGGGACCUCCACAUUGGUAGACUCCUACCUUUACCGUUGAAGUGUUUUGUCCUAUCCCAAAUUGCGGUGAACCUAUAGCAUCGGCAUCUUUCUCAAUCGAUUGACUCUCAUUGUUCGAUAUAAAUUCUAAUUCUGGUAAUUGAGAUUCUCCAUGAUAUUGUACCGGGUACAUCUGUAGAAUAAUCUGGUCUCGGCCUUUUUCAAUUGUCAAUGUACCUCAGCCCCAAUCGUUCUUAGCUUUGGCUUGAUAAAGCGAAGGUCUGCCCAAUAAAAUGAGAUAUGAUAAUGUAGAACUCUGUAAUCAGAAUACAAUAUAAUCAAUUUUGUAUGUCAAUCCUACAAUUAUAAUGGCAAUAUUACGUAAGAUUUCCAUUGGCUUUACCCGACUAUGAUCUACCAUUUGCAAGACCAAUGUCAUAGGUAGCAAUUGCUUUAGAUCCAAGUCCUCUAUUGUAUCCGCGUUCAUUAAAUUCACACUAGAGCCACCAUCGACUUGUACCCCUUGAAUUAAAAUGCCAUCGAUUGAUACAUUGAUUGUUGGUGCUCCCGGAUCUGGGUUUAAGUUAACUCCAUGAAUUUCUUUAGUACGAGAUCUUCAUCGUAUUAGCGCUGAAUUCAAUAUAGAUCGACAUUUUGGUGCUACAGCCAAAAGUUGCUUCAUUGUAAUUGAAGGCUGAAUAACAUCCAAAUCCUUCAGAAUGUCGUAGGAUUCCAUAUUGAAAGUAAUUCCCAAUACUCUUUUGCGUUUCAUUGGUUUCGAUUUUACUCCAUUCGGCAGCAAUUCCUUCUUAGUAAUUGAAAUUGUCGUUGAUAACUUCACCAAUUUUUCUACUACUAAAGGUUCCUUUAAUGCAUAAGAUCUUUUAUUAGAUUGUACAGGUAUUGGUAAUUGAUCAAUUGAGAUCAUUCUUGAUAGUCCCAACAAAUUGGCACGUGGAACCGAAUUGGGUUCCUCAGUCUGUUGAGGUCUCAAUAUUGGAAUACGUCCCAAUACUGAUAUUGAUUCGUUUAGUCCCAUGGACGGUGCUACUUGCUCUCUUGUGAUUGGUUCAUCUAGGUCCUGAAUUGGAUUCUUGUCUUUUUUUUGGCCUCUGGUAAGCAUUGCGUUCACCACCUCAAUAUGAUGUUCUGGUGAGUCUCGUUGAAUAGGACCUUUGUCCUCCGUCGAUUGGCUUGUUUGCAUUUGCUGGUCCCGAUUAUUAUAAUUAAAGGACGUAUUGCACUGUUAAUAAGUAUGACCAGACUGCUUACAAUUUCCACAUAUUAGAGCAUAGUCAUCAUUGGCCCUUAGAUUAGGACAUUCACUCACAUAAUGUCCGAUUUGUCUGCAAUGAUAGCAACAAAGUGGUCUCCUACUAACUCCUUCAGGGAUAUUGGGUGUCUCUAUUGGUAUAUAAUGGCUAGGUCUGUUCCAUAUCGGAUGAGUAAAGGAUCCUAGUUGAUCCAUUGUUACUGUAGACUCUAGCAUUCACUUCAUCAUGGAUAGAUAUUGAUGGUAUCUUGGUUGGUUCAUCGCCAAUCCAUGAGUAUUGGAUACACCUUCUUAGUGAAAUUUAGAGUUUAAGAAAUUAGAAUAAUUUUUGUUUUGUUUAUUCGCUCAAUUUCCAUUCUAGCCAAACCUAUUAUUUGUUUGUACUUGAUUGACAUCCCAAAAAGUUGAUUGAGUCAUUAUUUGGUUACUGAGUUGUUGUUGCUUCCAUAAAUUCUAACAGUUGGUGAUAAUAUGCUUCCCCCACAAAAGGUACAUUAUACAAUCAUUUGGGGUAGUGAAGGACAUUUUGUUACUAAAUGACCUUGCCCCUUACAAUUGCUGCACUAAACAUUGGGAUGCAUAUUAGUUGGUUUAUACCUUUUUUCUUUAUCCUUGGUCAGAUUCACAGCCAAUUCAUCUAUUUUUUUCAUCAAUGUUAACAGCAAUGACUCAUUGGGAUCCCUUGAUACCAAUGCAUUUGGCAAUUUCUUCGUAGAUAUUAGUUUUUGAUAUGCGAAAUAAGGCACAUAACAGUGUGAUGAUGAUGGUGGUACAUCUUGCAAUGGAACGACAUUCACUAUUCCCUGUGGAAUUGUACCAUAAUCAUUCCUUCUCAGAUAACUUUUUGAUGCAUCAUUCCAAUUUGUCAUUUGAUAACCUCCUUGAGAUGGAAUCAUCGUGGCUCCAACUGUUAAGUUCUAGUCAUAGUGACAUUCCUCCCAUACUUUUGCUUACUCAAGAGAUGAUGCAAUGGUGGUUGAUUGGGCCUCUUUUACAAACAUCUUCAAUUCUAGUGGAUGUAGUCCAUUAACCAAUAUGGACAACACAAACGAUUCUGGCAUUUGGUUAUUUGGCCAUUUUUGAAGUAUAUCUGUUAUACGACCAUAAUAUGACUGUACCACUUCCCUUGGUACCAUUUUGCUGUUCAUUAAUUUUUCUCUAAGACGUUCUUCAAAACCAAUUGGUCGAAAAUGGGCUAAAAAUGCAUUUUUCAAUGCCUCCCAAUUGAUAAAUUGUUCUACAUGUUGCUUGUUAUACCACUCAAAUGUUGUGUCUUUUAAUGUCGCUGGCAGCCAUCUUAACCAAAUAUCUUCAGUUCUGCCAUUAUUGGCUACACACAUCGUCAAGAAUUGAGACAAAUGUUGAUCUGGAUCCGCACUUGGCAAACUCCAAAAAGUAAGUAAUGGCGUAACGCUAGUCGUUCAAUCGCCCAUUGCACUCAUUUGAACUGCAAUCGAAACUGCUGGUCCUUCGGACGCCAUUAAAGAUGUCGGUGUUUUACUCAAUUCUUUAUUAAAAUAUAAACUGUCUCCCGUAAAAAUCUUUUUCGGACUUCCAAGCCUUCCCAAUUGACUAUUAUUAUCCCCAAAUAAUUUUACUGGUUGAAUAUGAGGUGAAAAUGAUAGGUUUUGGUAUACUCUGAAUUGGUCUUUAUUGGCAAGUGAUUUGUGUCGAUCUUCAGAACUAGUCUUGUUAGAAUUGGACGUAUCUCCAAUUGGAAAAAUACCCAAUGGAGUACCUAAUUCCUCUGUGCCUUCCUUGCUUUCCAUUAACGGCUUCGAGAGGUAUGCUGGACUAUUAGCAGCGCUCCCCGCGAGUGCUCUUGGUAAUUUCUUUAACAGUAUGUACUUCUGAAAUAUUAGAGGUUGAUCAUCUUCUGGGUAUGAUCGAAUAUGCCGACAAGCAUGCAACCAUGGCUUAAUCCAACUUUUUUGAUGCUUCUUUUUUAAUUUGCGAUCUUGCUCGUUACACAACAAAUUUCUUGUUAGCGAUCUCUCUGUUCUUUUCUUUGAUUGCUUUAUUCUCUUUGUUGUUAAAGAAAGGAUUUUGGAAUCAUCAACCUGUCUUGAUGUCAUUUUCCAUGCUUACCCUUAUCUUCUACUUUUAUCUUCAUAAAUUAUUAUAGAUGAAAUUAAUUAAGUUAUUAUAUACUAUUUAUAGCUUAAAAUUAAUUUCUAUAUGUAAUGAUUUACUUUGAUGAUAAAUCACUCUCAUUUAUUAACAAUUCUUCAUGGAUACUACAAUAAUAUAUCCCACAUGUAUUCAAAGAUAUCAAAUAAAAUACCUCCCACUUCAUAAACCCUAUUCCAUUCUCAAGUUACAACAUCCAAUAGUUGAAUACUAAAAAAAAUAGUAUUUAUACUAAGCAUAUUGGCAUUUAUACUUCAUUAGUGCAUUCAAAUCCUAAGAGCCUAGUUGUCUAGGAUUUUAGAUAUCAAUGCAUCCUUAGGCUUUUAAUCGAAUCUAUUUAAAAAAUUUCAUUCUCUUUUCUUAAAAAUAAAUAUAUUCAAAGCUUAGAAUAGAUAAAAGAUAUAUAUAAUCCAUUUAAAUAUUAGAAUCAUGGUUUCAAUUGUAGAAUGCAUAACUAAUAAGUUUUUUUUUUCAUACACUUACAGUAUAUACACUAAGUAUCUUUAAAAAAAAAAAUGAGAAAUUGCAUAUAUAUUUAAAAAAAUAAUUAAAAUAAUGAAUUCAUUUUGUAACUAACUUCUACAAAUUUUAACAAUAUAAUAAGAAAAAAAUAAAUUUAAAAUAUAAAUAUAAUAAUGAAAAUUAUGACUAUUUCUAAUACAAAAAUUUAUCAUUCAUCAAUACUUAAAAUUUAUAACAAUAUCCCAAAAGAAAAUAUAUAUAUAAAAAAAAAGUUAUUAAAAAAAUUCCACACCUAUUCUAAUCCAUAUGUCCAACAAACAGCCAUUACAUUCUAGACCUGUAAAUAUAUCACAAAAUUUAGACAAUUACAUUUCUAAAUGUGAUAGAAUAUUACAUUAAGUAAUAUUCUAUACUUCAAAUCAUGCUAGAAUAAGAAAAAAUAAUUUAGGUCCAUGAACAAGUCGCUAUUAACAAUAAUCUAUGAAGAUUUUAAAGCCAUUGAAGAUCAUAUUGUUUGUUUUCAAGAUCAAGCAAGUAUCCUUUGGUUUAUUUUAUUUUUAGGAUCAAGAUUAAGUUCCAAAAUUAUUUUUUAAAAAAGAGAUGUAAUCAAGAAUUUGUAAAGUUUACAUUACUAAGGAAUCAAACAAAUAUUUUGUUACUUGUAAGAAACAAAAUAUUUGAUAUUACAAUAUAGAAGAAAAGAAACAAGUUUAUAACUUGUAGGUUAUAAUGAUGCAGAUGGAGUAGAUUGUAUAGAGAUGCACCAUUCAGUAGGAGGUUAUGCAUUUAUAUUUGGCGGGACAAUUAUCACUUGAUUAAAUAAGAAGCAAUAUUUAGUUUUUAUUUUGUCAAUAGAAGUAGAGUAUAUAGCUUUGACUAUUGCAACAAAAGAUGCUUUGUGGCUUUGUAAAGUACUUAAGAAUAUGACAUUCUUAAGUCAAAAAAUAUUCUUAUUUAUGAGGAUAACCAGAAUGUUAUUACUAUUGCCAAGAUUCCAGCACACCUUGGUCGUAUAAACCAUUGGGAUACAAAACAUCAUUUUAUUAAGUAAUGUAUCAAGAAAGGAUAGAUUAAUUUGGAAUAUUGUUCUAUAGAGUAGAUGGCCAUAGACAUCUUCACAAAAUCUUUUUUUAGAGAUAAGUUUCUAGCUUUUAGGAAUAUAUUAGGUCUUAUUUCAGUAAAGAAUCAAGUCCCACUUCCAAAGGAAGAAUGAUGAAUAUUCCAUAUUAUAUAUACCAAAAGUUGUGACUUAUCCAAUUCUUAAUUAAAAUAUUAGAAGUAUCUUUUUCUUGGCUCCCAACAUAUUUUUUUUGCAACAAAUAUUGUCCAUCAUGUUUUCAUAAUACACCAUGUUUUUGUAAUAAUUUUAUUAGAUUUUAUUAACAAUCUUGUUUUCAAUGCUUAUUAUAGUGUUUUAAGAUCUCAGACCAAAAUAUGAGUUAUGUAGAAUCAUUAUAGAUUUCUAAUAAGAGAGAAGGUUCUACAAUUAAAUUGGCUUGUGCAUCAAGUUGUUGCAAUGUUUUAGACAAGAUUCUUAAAAAAACUCCUGGUUUGAAUUCACAUGUGUAUGUGCCAUGGACCAAAUAAAGAAGCUUGUAUUCUUGGUAUCAUUGAAAAUUUAGUAGCCACUAUCAAACAUGGAGAUCAUCUUUAUCCAUCAUGAUUUUUAUUUUGUGCCUAAUUUGUAUUUGUAAGAGAUCAUAUUAAAAUAUCCUAUAGUAUAUAAUAGUAAACAAAUCAUUUCUCAUUUUACAAAUCCCAAUUGUCCAUCCAAGAAGUAUCAUCUAGCAAAAGUAUUCUAAUAAAGAGAUAAUUUAUCCAAGCAUAACAGGAUCAAUUUAUCAUCAGUGCAUCCAUAUAUUUGGAGCUCUAUACUGCAUGCAUUACUCUAUAAUUUUUGGAUAUCAAUACCAUUUUGACAACUCAUUGGAAUUUUAGUUCCUUUAAAGAAUAAUUUCUUUUAAUUUGUUGAACAUAUCACUAAUCAGAUAGUUAUUCAAUUGACAUCAAGAUAGCAAAUGCUAGAUAUGAAAUGCAAGAGAGGUUUUGUUAUAUGCUAGUACAAACAAGUCCAACAACAUAAGGUCAAUUAAAGAUUUAAGAACAAUGACAUGCUAUAGACAAGAAAGAUACUCAUAUUACCUCACUAAAUUUAGAAGCACAACUCAAGCUUGAAUUAAGAAGGUAUAUUAUUUUAAAAUUAAAUAAUCUUUAGCAAAUUAUAUCAAAAAAAUAUGAUGGUAGCAGACACAAUCAAACUUGGAAUAGAAUAGUGUUUAGCUUAAGGCCAUAUAUUUUCAAAAUAUAUACAAAAAAUUAAAAAAAUUAUUACUAAAAUAGUAUGUAUGUUAUUAAUUUUAGAUACUUUAAAAACUUCUAUCCCUUCCUUGCCUGUUAUUCCAAGAGCUUAGAUGACAAGUUAGAAAUGCACAGCUCACAUUCUUGAUGCAUUAAUAUUUAUUCCAAUAUCAAGAAUAUAAAUUUCUAGUAUAAAUGUCAACACAACAUUUGUAUAAUGCUAAUGUUGUCCUAUUUGUGGACUUCAAAUUUCUUGAUGCUUCUCAUCUUGUUUGCAUUAGAGUCCAUAAAUAAGUGAUUGUUAACAAUGAUCUACUAAGAUUUUCAAAGCUAUUGAAGAUCAUGUUGUUUGUUUCCAAGAUCAAGCAAGUAUCCUUUGGUUUAUUCCUUUUUAGAAUCAAGAUUAAGUUGCUAAAUCGUUUUGUGAAAGAAAGACGUAAUCAAGAAUUUGUAAAGUUUUGAGGUAAAAUUAAUAUUAUACAACUAGAUUAUAGUUGGCAUAAACAAAAAACAAUACCAUGUUUUUUUCUUGAAAUUUUAUAUGUUGAUAUUAUAAUUAAACAACUAAAUUAUUUUAUUAUUAACUCCAAUCAAUUCUUAAAUUUAGAUGGUGUAAAUUUUAUGCUAAUAAAAUUCUAUUAUAUAUUUAAAAGAUGGUAAAUAAGAACAUUUUAACAAUAUGCAUAUUGGAAAGGUAUUUUGUAAGUUUGUUUGGCUUGAUCCAAUAAUAAUGAAUGAUUACAAUUAUUAAAUAGAUUCCUUUACCAAAUUUCUUACAAUGUAAUGUGGCUACUAAGUCAAAAUCAAUAAAAACAUUUAAAUGAGAAUAUAUUACAACAUAUUAAUAAAACUUGUUCCAUGUUUCAUUAAAAAAAAAAAAACUUAGAACGUUACAACAAAUACAUGUAUAUAUAUAAAUACAUAUACAUGUUGAAAGUUUACUUGUUUUAUUUAUAUUCUUAUAUUGUCUUUUCUAUUCAUGUUUAGACAUCAUUGUUUAUUCAAAAUUACAACACUUCACCAAAGCAUUGAAUUAACCAUACAUCAAUCAAUAUGCAAAACAUUUCUUAGAUAGUUGAACAUUAGGAACACUUUAGGAGGUACAACUUCCAGUUCUGGCUUUUCUAAGGAAUUUGAACAAAUACAGUAUUCAACUUUGGAACUAGUAAGAGACCACACUCUAAUCCAAAAGUAAUUUUGGACCAUUGUUUUGAUUUUGCAAAUUGCUUCCAUGGAAAUUAUCCACCUGACAAGAACAAAAAAGUUAUGGAAGACUGAAAUUCACUGUAAUCUAUGAUGAUGUUCUUGGCCACAUUAAAUAAUAUAGAACCCAAUAUCAUAAAAUAUUCUUAAAACAAAUUGAUCCAAAAUUGAUCAAAAACUGGACCACACUGAAGAGUGCUUAAGUUAUUAAAAAAUUAGACCAAAAAGACUUAGAAGCGUAACCAAGUUAUUAAAAAAUUAAACCAAAAAGACAAAUUAGUGUGCUCAAGUCUAAAACAAAACCAAAACGCAACAAAAGCCAUCCGUUCAUGAUUUCACGAAGGGUAUAUCACUUUUAGGAAGGAUUCACUUAAUUCAACCACUGAUAAUAAACAGCAGGCUUAGACUAAGUUCUUUCUAAUUGUGUCUCAGUAAGCUAUUUGAAUUGCAAUGAUAAUUCGUGGAGAGUAGGGCACACAGUCGUCACGAAGCUGGCGUAGUUGUGAAGGUGACUUUCAGAUUUCAUGGGGCUGUUCGUCUUGUUUAACAUGGCGUCCAUGGACGAGUUGCCAAUGACGAUGAUUGGCUAUAAUUUCAGUGCCAAAUGCUGCUGGUGACGGUCGUUUCAGAGAUCUGGCAAGUUCCCUUCGGAUUGCUAGCCUCCAGCAUGCUGAAUGGGUUGCUGAAUAUCUACCUGUUCGUAAAAAAGAGACACAGUCUCAGCGAUUCGAUCAGUUGGAAGGUAACCUUUCAACGAAAUACAAGUUAAACACUCGACUGGGACUUGUCGCUCAAACCAACACUCGAAUACCACAAAAGUAUGCCACUACACCCCAGGACUACCGAGUCGAAAUCUUCUCCGCAGCAGAACCAUAACGACACCGCACUUGCCAGAACCACCAAAACCUAUAUCCAUUCAACCCUUCCAGCAACAAAAAGCUCUUCGGAAUACAGCUGCCCCAUCCAAGGUUUGACUGAAACCACAACCACGUAAAACCAAAAGAAACUGCAGCCGGGCAGCUGGACAGCUCAAUCCAAACCAAUACUCAACACUCAUCCUCUUACUCGAUCCCCGACAUUCCCAAACCCCAAUGCAAAUCAUGACUGUUCCUCAUCCAACGCUCCACCGACGCAAUCCAUUUCCCAUCACCUUCGUCGUCAAGUUCCACAAAAAAAAAAAAAAAAAAAAAAAAAAAAAACACGCCGAGAUGAACACCACCACUGCUCUCAAAAACAGCCCCCACAAAGCGCGACAAACUACCACAAACCAUGACUGUGCACGCAACGAAGGUGUCAGGCCCAAUUUAGUGAUUCCUCAUUCGACCAGGGAGGGAAUGAUCUACAAAACAAACAUUGCAGCUAAAAAUAGCACUCCUGCAAACAAUUCUAGCCCCUUCACCGCCCAUCCACAACACACCCACACCGUACCCCACCACUCCUACAACCCCAUAUCCAACAAAACAGCGUCGGGGACUGUUGCAAUCCAAGCCGCGUGCAUAACAAACCCACCACCACAUAACAUCCAGAAGAAACGACGCCAGUUGCUCUAUGUACCUACCCGAACACCAAAGUGCACGCCCUGACAACUCCCCAUCCAAACACUGCACCUUGGUCGCACCCAAAUUCAUCCACUCACACCUUCACCGUCUCAGUGUACACAAGAACACACGUUCUCAUUUCCAAACGUAGCUACACCUCUCAGCCUCCAGCCAAUCACCCGCACCUCUAUAGCGCACCCACCCACAAACACACCAUCCCCGUAUCCUAACCCGACCCCUCCUACUCCAAUCCUACCUAAGCCUCCUCCAGAUCCUCCUCGUACUCUCCCUCCUCCUCUGCGCUCGCGUCCUGGUACUGCUGGUACUCCGACACCAAGUCGUUCAUGUUGCUCUCCGCCUCCGUAAACUCCAUCUCGUCCAUCCCCUCCCCCGUGUACCAAUGCAAAAACGCCUUCCUCCUGAACAUCGCCGUGAACUGCUCGCUCACUCGCCUGAACAUCUCCUGGAUCGACGUCGAGUUCCCGAUGAACGUCGACGACAUCUUCAGCCCCGUCGGCGGAAUGUCGCACACCGACGACUUCACGUUGUUCGGAAUCCACUCCACGAAGUACGACGAGUUCUUGUUCUGCACGUUGAUCAUCUGCUCGUCCACCUCCUUCGUCGACAUCUUCCCCCGGAACAUCGCCGACGCCGUCAGGUACCUCCCGUGCCGCGGGUCCGCCGCGCACAUCAUGUUCUUCGCGUCCCACAUUUGCUGCGUCAGCUCCGGAACCGUCAGCGACCUGUACUGCUGCGAC